GUGACUGGACUCAUAAACACACAGCCAUAGCCCAAGAGCAUGGGCAUCUCUGGCUAAGGAAACAAGCGCAUUCAGAAAAAAGAGAAUGCUUCUGAUACUUUAAGAGUGAGGCAACUGGAGGAGUCUGAAAAGGGAAAGAGUUCUGAUUUGUUAAGGCACAGGCAACAAGAGGACUCAGGAAUGGGAAAAGGUUCCGAUAAGGGAAAGAAUUCUGAUUUGUCAAGACACAGGCAACAAGAGAGGGCUCAGGAAUGGUAAAAGUUUCUGAUAAGGAAAAGAGUUCUGAUUUGUCGACGCAUAGGCAACAAGAGGACUCAGGAAUGGGAAAAGGUUCCGAUAUAUCAAUGCCUAAGCAAUUGGAGUCAGAAAAAGGCGUAAGGUCUAAAACUUCAGCUAAUGAUAUUCAUGAAAAAGAAUCUACUAUACUAGCACCAGAUGAACCAGAAGAUUCAAAGAGCGAAUCAUUUGUCUCUGGAGUUCCUAAAAAUGGAUCCACGAAAACAUGGAAGAGAGAUAGUGACAGAGAGAGUCAUGACAAUCGGGAUAUCCAUCCUAAUCUGUCUCCUGAGGCUCCAAGGAAGAAGAGGCAGCGUUUUGAAGAAAUACCUCGAAGAGGUGAUGGUGAGACAUCAGAAGAGAGCAGACGUAAUUGUAAAAGGCCUUUAACUGAGAUUAAACAGAGACCUCCUGCUUCUCCAAAUGUGAGUGAUCAUACAUCCAGUAAGUCAGUUGAGAUGCCUCCAUAUGCUGAUGUGGAUGGGAUUGGACAUCAUCAACAGUCGGGGUCGACUAUGACUGAGCCAAAACACCAACCUCGGAGCUCCUUACGAUGCUGCACAGAUCAGCUUAACUGAUGACAUUACUAGAAAGUACAACCUCAAUGCUGAGGAGUCUUACCCACGUGGGAACACUGGAUGGUCAAAUAAUGCAAGUCCCAUGUAUGAUAUUGGUUCUAGACAUGUUGAGGAACGUAUCUUGGAUCAAAUGGGAGGACGUGUUGGUCUUAAUUAUAAACCCUACUCUACCGGUGUUGACACGUAUAUGAGGGACUCUGAAAUACGGUCACAUAUUCGUCAUUACGGGCACCCAGAUACUGACAAUUUAAGAAGUAAUUAUCAAGUUGGACCUGAUCCUAGGUAUAGUAGGAUUGGGGCAAUCCCAGCUAGUUAUGGGCAUCUGGGUACAUUUUCUGAACCAUCCCGUUGGAUGAACACUUCAGCAACACAACGAUAUAUGGCCUCGACUCGAUGAGUUAAACCACACUAGAUUGGGAGGAAUGGGUGUUGCACGUCAGAUGAACGGCGGCAGCACUUUCGACCCUAGAGUGCACACAUCCUCUGGUUUCAGGGGCGUGUCACAGGGGUUCGCACCUGGUCCUCAAUACCCGUAUUCGAACCAAAAUUCAGCUGGUUGGCUUAAUGAAUAGUACAAUACACUUAGCUCUUGCUUGGCCGCCUAACUGGGAUUGUAAAGCAUUUUUUGGCGAACCAAACUACAUUACUUGGUGGAUAGGCUGUAGAAUGAUCUUGUAUAUCCAAGUAGAUGGCAAAUUUAACUUUGUAAGUAUGCUAUAUAUCGGUUGUUUCAAGUAAAAGUCUGUUUAUCUCAAAAUCAGCUCAAUUUUCUACCUUUUUGUUCACGUCUAAAUAUAAAACGGAAUAUUAUUCUCGUCCAAGAAAUUUCAAUUUAGUUUCUUUGUGUUGAAGUGUCUCAUUUUAGUUUAUGUAUUUUGAAUAAAUUUUUAAUUUAGUCUCUACUGCAUGUUUUUUUUUCGUUUAUUAAACUCAUUAUAAAAUUAAAAAAUGCAUUUAAAUGAGGGACACUUGCACAAAAAACAAAGCAAGUUAUAAUAAUUAAGUUCACAGUACAUAUUUAUCAUUCACAAAAAUGGUAAAAACAAAGUCCAACUUACAUAUACAAGAUGUAAAAUGGUUACAAAUGUUCUCAUUGAUAUACAUUUGAUACAUCUAAUACACACUUGAUAUACCUAAUAUUUCUUGAUAUAUCUAGUACUCUUAAUACACUUAUAUAUAUUUGAUACUUUUUGAUACCCUCUGAAUCUUGAUUCACUAUGAUACUUUUUUAUACACUCGAUUGAUUAAAUGCACUUGAUAUGCUUGAAGUUCAAUUGAUACAUAUAUUAUUGAUAUAGACUUGUAACUUGAUUGAUAUACUUGAUAAUGAUUCACUUUAUUGAUAUGUUGAUAUACUUUACUAAUAUAUUGUUGAUAUACUUGAUAAUGAUAUAAUGAGUUAUAUUGUUUAUAUAUUUAACACUACUAUAAUGAAUUGCUUUGAAAAAAUGGAAAUCACUCAACAAAUAUAUAUAUUAAUCAACUAAUACAUACAAUAUAAACACAUAACAAUAUAUUUUACAAAACUGAUUCAAAGUAAAACCAAAACAGAACCAACGUGAAAAAAAUAAAACAAAAUUAUUUGAAAUCAAAUUUAACUUUAAAUACACAUAGAAGAAAGUAAAGAACGACUACAAACGAAGUUAAAUUACUUUCAUUAACAACUAUUAUAGCUUAUAUUGCAAUUAAUGUACUAUUGAUAUUUUAAAAUCAAGAUUAAUACAAUAUAAAAGAGAAGACUUCAUAGAUGCAUAAUAGCUGUACGUCCACUACAAAACCAAGGAAAGAAAACAAAACAACAAAAAAAACUUAAGAAAUCUUGGACAGCAAUUGUAAUAUACCAAUGAGGAAGAACAAGGUAGAACAAAUUUUGUAAUCUACAAAUGGGGAAGAACGAGAAUGAACAAAUCGUUUUUUCCGUAUAAGAAAAGAUAAUUAGACAUUAAAAAGAGGAGAAGAAAUAAAUUAUUGAAGGAGGGUUCGACAAUAAUAAAAGAUUUAAAAUGAAGAAUAUUUUAAGAAGUAGUUUCAAAAUUCUAAAACAAUCUAUUAUAUUAUAUUGAUGAAAGACUACCCACUUCAACUUUUCUUUAAAUAAUAUGUCUCAUUCAAUUAAAAUUAUUAGAGCUGUUUAGCGAAUAUGAAUAAAAAUAAAUUCUUUGAUAAAAAUAAAAAUUUGAAAAGUAAAAUUUAUUUAUUGAAAGCCUAAUAAUUAAAAUGAAACAUUCAAAGCACACGACCGACAGUAUAAUAAACUUAAAACGUCAUUGAAACCAAAAAUCCUCUAUUUCGUUCAACUACACUUUUAAUUAAUUUGAGUUGAUGAAUGGAUUAAUUCUUAAACUUCUCCAAAUUUUUUUAAAUGUUUGUUUUAUAAGAUGAAAUAAUAAAAUAAAUAUUUAAACAAUUAUAUAUGUAUGUGUGCAUGUCUAUAUCCUUAUCCGGCUUUAACAAAAAGAAUCAUUUUUUAACGAUUCUACUCUUACUCAAAUUCUAUAUUUACAAUAUCAACCAAAUUUAUUAGAUUUUUUUUAUUUAUAAUCGAUUAUUUAAUUAAUAUAAAAAAUAUAUAAUUAUCAUUAACCAUUUAUAUUUUUUCAAAUUUCCACGUUCACGCGUAACUUAUUAUUUAAGAAGAUCAAUAUGAAAAAUUAUCUAUUUAUUUCUAUAAUUUAAUUUUUAAAAUUUAUAAUGUAUAUUAAUGAUGAAAUUUCAAAAAAAUGUGUAACUUUUCUCUUCUACAACAGUAGAAAGAACUCUCUUCCAUAUUUUUUAUAAACGUUUGAAAUUUCUCUUCUACUUAGGUUUGUUACCUUGAUCUUUUUAUAUAGUUUUUUAUAAAUAAUAAUCACUGUAAACUAAUAACUUUUCUAAGUUGUACGAAUUAUUUACAAAUUUUAGUAUGUAGUACAUUAUUAUCAGCAAUAUAAGAUUAGAGUCUUGAUUUAUCGAGAAAGUAACAACCUUAUUUUGUAACAAUCUUAUUUGUACCUUCUUACCAUCUUAAAAUGUUUUAGAUAGGUAAUUAGUAUCUACCGUUUUAAAAAAAAAGUUGAUAUAAGUUAUUGUUUGUAGACAUUUAUGAUUAGAGGUUUAUGGCUAUUCAAAAUUUGAGAAUGAAGGAGUUUGAAAGUCUUUUUGUGUUGGAGAAAAUUUAAGAUAAUGGUUACAAAAAGUUAAUAUACUUAUAUAAGUUGUUUAUUACUCCUUCCAAAUUCCAUAAAUCUAAAAUUUACAUAACACAUAUUUGUUACUUUUUUUUUUGGAUAUGGCUGAUGAAUUUGAAAUGAGUAAUAAACAAUUUAUAUAAACUUUUUCUAUUAAAAAAUGGUAGAUUACUAAUUACCUAUCUUAAAUUUACUCCAUCAUUUGAGAUUGAACGUUUAUCCUCCGUCCUUAUGAUUACUGUAUUUAAAAAUGUAUUAGUUUAAUGGAGUAAUAUCUUCUUUAAUAAUCUUAUUAUGUUUCUUUAAAAUUGUUGAACGUUCCUCGAUACAAUAUUAUUUUUCUUUAUAUAUAUAUUAUAUAUAUAUAUAUAUAUUAUAUAUAUAUAUUAUUUCGAAAUAAGAAAAAUAUAGAUAAUUUCAAAAGAAAAGAAAGGUCUAAACACGUACAACGCUCGUCUCGGUAAUUAUAUAUAAACAAAGAACUCAAAAUAAUUAUAUAUUUGAAACAAUUGUUGGAAUAUUGUAUAGCCAAAUCUUUUAUAUUUGAAAAAAACACAUAAGUACUUGUUGCCGGAUAUGAUUGUUUCAAAUACGUGAAAAAAAUAGUUGGAAUAUUGUAUAGCCAAAUCUAAACUAUUGUGUAAAAAAAAAAGCAAAAUAUAAAAAAUCUUUAAAAAAUUGUUUAGAUUUGGGUAGCCAAAUUUAAACGAUCAAAUCUAAACAAUUGUGUUCCAAAUAUAAACGAUCAUGUAUCAAAUCUAAACGAUCAUUUUCUAAAUAUAAAUGGCCGUUUUCAAAUAUAAACAAGUACUACAAAAUAUUAAAAAAAUCGAUGAGAUUUGACAACCCAAAUUUAAACAAUCAAGCUAAUGAAUCGUGUUCCAAAAAAUUAGACUAAUAAGAACUUCAUGUUUUAACUAUAAAAUAAGUUUUGUAGCUUUUUCUCAAUGCCAUCUUACACUAUAAGAAAUUUGAAAUUCAAAUGACACAAGUGAAUAGAAAAAUUGGGUUGGGGAAAAUGUGUAACUAAUGCCAAAUAGACGCGUUUUUUUAAUAGGAAAACCUGACACAUUUUAAGCGUCAAUAAACCAUGACAUCUUUCUUGUCAUCGUUUCCUUCAACUUUUUAUUAAUUUAUCUUUUCAUUAAAUUAAAACGGGGGUAAGUAAAAUAAACCCCAACUUAAAGUUCACCGUCUCGCAAAAUCAGCCACACCAUCCCAUUUCCUUACCUCUUCACAUGGAAGCCGCCCUAAUAUCCAUUAGCCAAGAUCAACAAAUUCAUUGUUACUAUGUCCUUCCACCCCCAAUUUCAUAGCUUCAUCAAGUUUAUCGGUAUGUUUUCUUUUCUUUCUUUUCCUUAUCGUCAUUCUCACCCAUCACCCACCAUCGUACUCUCCUUUUCCAUCUUUGUUGCCCUUGAAUUUAGUAUAUUACACAAAAGCAUGCAUGCUCCCUUCAAUUCACUUCCACAACAACCUUUAUUAUUAGUAUGUGUUCCCACAAGAUUUUUGGAGAAAUUUGAUUCGUGGAAUUGAAGUUGUAUUGAUUUGAUGCGAUGUGGUUCGAUCUUUAGAAUCUGAUCAUUUGAUUCUCUAUUGGUUGGAUGCUUAUGCUUGAUUUGUGUACACUUCAUUAAAGACUCACGAAUAUAAACCACUAAAUAUUAGUGCUUCUAUAAUGAACAACUUGUUUAUGACCCAACCAAUAAAUAGAAACCCCUUCCAUGUCAUAGAAAGGGUAAGACCCUUUGUUCAAAUACUCGGAGAAACCAUUUAAGGGAACACUCGUCUACUUAUCCUAAAGUCAAGAAGAAGUGAAUUUCAUCUUAUGUGAUCAGCUCCCCAUUCAAUUUUGUCCCCAAAAUGAUAAGCAUAUUGGAUUGAUAAUUUGGUUACUCUUACCUGUACAAAUCAAAUAACAAUUCAUUGUAAACAAGAGAGUUCAUAAUACACUCAAAAUUAAGACUAAGUUACGUAAGUCAUGAUACGAUUGUCGGUUAAGAAAUAAAAAGAAAGAAGUAUUAAAGUAAGAGAGAGAAAGGAAAAUGUGUUGGGAAGAAAAAACAAAAUAGUGAAUAAUGAAGCAAGAGUAAAUAUAUAUAUAUAAAAAGAACAAGUUGGUGAAGAGUGAAUGAAGGAGAUAAGAAAAUGAAAUGAAACCAAAUAUAGUGUAUUUUGGAAAUGUGUAAUAUUUAUUUCUUUGACAACCUGUGAUGUGUAAGAAAUUGAAUAGUAGAGAUCACUAUUAUUUUGAAAAUAAGAAAUGUAAUAUUAAUAUUAGUUUGAAUUUGAUAAAUCAUAUUCAUCUCCUCCAUCUCUCUCUCUCUCUAUCAUUAAAUAUGCAGAAACCAACGAAAUUUCAACUAAGAUGACGGCUCACCAUUUAACACUACCCUCAAUCUCUGCCGUACCCACCGUCACCGGUAACCAAAUGAACCACGGCGAGCUCUACAGACUAGCCAAGGUAUGGACAAUUGCCAUUCCUCUCAUUUCUUACUCCUACUAUUUCACUUCCAAGAUCCCCAAGGGAAUCCCAAGGCUCCUUGCUCUCUUCCCCGUUCUCUUCAUCUUCCUCCUCCUUCCUCUCAAUCUCCGCUCCUUCCAUCUCUGCGGUCCCACCGCCUUCUUCCUCUCCUGGCUCGGCAAUUUCAAACUCCUCCUCUUUGCCUUCGAUCUGGGUCCUCUGUUCUCUUCCCCUCUCCCGAGCUUCCUCCACUUCGCCGCCACGCUCUGCCUUCCCAUCAAGAUCAACAACAACAAAUCCCAGAUCCAUAGAAUUGGAAAUCCGAUGGUUCUUUGUUUGAAGGUCUUGCUUCUAGCGAUUGUCGUUCGGCUCUACGAUUACCAGAAUCGUAUGCAUCCGGCCAUCGUUUCCGUUCUGUAUUUUCUCCAUUUGUACUUAGGCGUGGAGAUCGUGCUCGCUUUGUGUUCUCUUCCGGCGAAGGCCAUCUUCGGAGCUCCGAUGGAACCACAGUUCGACGAACCCUAUCUCUCGAGUUCGCUUCAGGAUUUCUGGAGCCGUCGAUGGAACCUGAUGGUUCCGAGUAUUCUAAGGCCGGCCGUAUACGAUCCCACCCGUAUGAUAACUUCCCGCAUUUUUGGGCGUAGGCGGGCCCAAUUGGUGGGUAUGGUAGCUACGUUCGUUGUGUCCGGCUUUAUGCACGAGCUCAUCUUUUAUUACUUCACCCGUGCCCCUCCCACCUGGGAAGUCUCCUCUUUCUUCGUUCUUCACGGCUUCUGCAUGGCCGCUGAGGUCGCCGCUAAGGCCGCCCUGGCUUGGCCCUCCAACAUCCACCCCAUGCUCUCUCGGCCCACUUGUUUGUUCUUUUUGAUGGUCACCGCACGCUGGCUCAUGCUCCCUCCAUUGAUUCGAAAUGGUGUCGUUGACGAGGCGAUUGGUGAGUAUUAUGCUACUGCCCACUUCUUCAAGAGUAAAUUUAUUUUGUUUCUUUAAUGUUAGGAGAUGGUUUAAGGAUGGAUUGAAGUUGUAGAUCCUACAAAGUUGGAUAGUUUGAUCCUGAAAUAAUACCCAAUAUUAUGUUUUUUCUUUUUUCUUUUUAGUCGUGACAUUAAAUACCUCUAGUGGUUUUCCAACAAAAUAUUUGUAGAUUUUUCUUCUUUUCCAUUUUUUUAAAUGUGAUAUCACGUUUAAAUAACACAUUACUCGAUUAUUUGGUUUUGGAUUUUGUAGACACCUCAUGGCAGAGAAUAACAUUGCUAAAAACUUGUGUUUGUUUGGGCAUGAGAAUGCUAAUUAGAAUCCAAAAGUUAAAACAAAUUAUGUUUGUAUUAGUUUUAUGAAAUUAAUUUUGGUAAACCAUAAUUUUAGUAGAUUAACUAUUUAAUUAAAGUGCUUUUAGUUGGAUAAAUUAAUUAUAAGUAUGGUGCAAACAAAGUGAACAUUUUAAAUAAUAACAAAAUAUCGUAACUGUUUACAGAAUAGAUUCAUAGAAUUUUCUAUAAAAUAAAUAAGAAAAUAAGAAAUUAUAAAAGUAGAAAAAAUCUUCUAAAAUCUCUACUAUCUCCAACUUUCUUAGAAAUUCCAUCCAUACGUGUAUAUCUCAAACACCCACCAAAUACCCAUAUUUAUAAGCACUUUGACAAUCAUAUAUAAGAUUAUAUAGAAACUAAAAGCGAGUAUCUUGAAGAUGUGGAGGAAGUGACACAUGUUAUUUUGACUCUAAACAUAAUAAGCAUCUAUUUAAUAAUUUCUAUAAUACUCUUCUUAGAUUGCUCAUUCAACCUAUGAAAUAUAUCUCGUUAAAAUCUUACUGCAAAAGUUUCAAUAGAAAGAAAAUCCUAGUGAAAGGAAAAAACUAUAUACUUCAUUUACUUUAUGUACACUUAAGUUAACUUGGAAAGGGAGUUCGAUUUAAGAAAAGAUACGCAAUCAAUUGGGUUAAGUACUAACAAAGAUAGUAAGUAAAAGUUUAGGGGGCGAACCAAAGAGAAUUUAUGCAAAUCUUGAUAAAAAAAGAAUACCAGAAUUCUAACAUAUAAAGGGGCGAUUUUGUUGCGACAAACCAAGAAAGUAGAGUAAAGCAAGUAAUUGUUUUUGUAUUUUUAGAACAAUAGGGCCCAAGAAAGAAAUAAAACCUCUGUGAACAAAGUUAAAAUGAGAAUGGUUCAUUCUAGUACUCUUUCCAUCAUAGAACAAAUAAAUUAAUUCCAAUCUAAUUCAAUCUACAACUAAUUAGUUCAAGAAUAAAACUAAUCAACAUUUAUUAAUGAAUCAAGAACCAAAUCUAAUUCAUACUAAAUUCAAAGAUAUCAUUUUCAUCUUAGUUGUUUAAUUUUCAUGAAAUUUAAAAAAAAAAUAGAAAUUAAAGGAAAUUCACCCAUCAUGGAUGAUAAAGCCAAUCAAACAAAAAUUAAUUAUAAAAACAAGAUUGGAAUUCAACAAAAAAUUGAAAUUAAUUAAUUAGAAAGCAUUUGGACAAGAUUCUCAAUAAAGAAUUUCUAGAACUAAACUUCCUAAAGAAAAGUGCAUUAGUUCUUCAUCAUUCUCAAAGUAGUUUCAAGAAGAAAUUCAAAGAAAGGAGACAUUUCAUGGAAGAAUUUGAGAAAGAAAUUUAUUAAUCUUAAGAGACGUUUUACAAGAUAAUUGACCCAUGCUUUUGAUAAAUUUGAAAAAUAACGAGUGAAUUAUGAAAAUACAAGAGAAAAAUGGCUUAAAUAGGCCAUUCAGGUUGGGUUGCUUGGUGGGAGGAGUGCACAAGUGCUAACGAACGCUGUAAGUUUGUAGCAUCGAGAAGUUGUAGUUGGGCAUCGAGACAUUGUGCUUGUCACCUUCGAUGUUGCGACUUUAUAAUGGUCAUCACGAGACUAGAUUUUUGUAGCUAUUGCCUUUCUGCACCGAGCUUCGACAUUGCAACACUGAGGACAAUGUCACUUUAACUUUAAUUACGAAUAUACCACUAUUCUUGGCUUGGUUAGUUUGUGCUCAUUUUAGCUUUAAAUUAUGUGAUUCUUAUUGUAUUUGACUUUUGACUCCAAUGAUUAUUAUUUUCUAUAAAACAAGAGAACUAAUGAAUAAGUGUUAUGGUCGCGAGAGUCUUAAUCUAGAAAUCUAGCUCAUUUAUAAGGCUAUCAACUACAAAAAUACACUUAUUCUUUUUUACAUAAUAUAACAAAAGUUUUAAUUGAACAUAGAAGUUAUAUAAAUUUUACUAUAUUUUUUAAAUAGUUUUAAAUUUUACAAUAUUUUUUAAAUAGUUUUAACUUACCAUUUUAAAAAAUGUUUGAGUUGAUGUUAAACUCUAGUUUUAUUUUUAAAAGUAUAUUCACGAAGAAGCGCUUUCGUUAGAAAUUUUUUCUACGGAUUGGUGACCAAACAGGAUGUUUCUUAAAUGAGAUGACAAAAUAUAUUAAUUACUUUCUGUUUAAAUAGAGUUUAUACAUAUGUGUCACAUGUCUUUCCUUCUUUAAAUACAAGUUUAUGGGCCACCUCCACCGACCGUUAUAGCUUUAUACAGAGAUAAUUUAAUGGGAAGUUUUAGUAUAAAGUUUUAAUGUACUAAACAUGCAAAGUUUAGGCAAGAAAUAAUUAUUAUUUUCUCUAUAUAAAAUUGGUCUAAACAAUUCUCAAGCAAAAGUAAAAUAGUAUGAUGAACAUUAUGGGAAAGAAAUGUGGUUGUGUAGGGUUUAAUAAGAUUUAUGUCUUACGUACAUUCAUUAUUAUCUUAUGGUAAAGUCCUUUGUCAAUCUUUUUGAGUAAAUAAAGCCAUCAAACCCUAGAACCUAGCUAGUUGUAGAUUGAAAUCAAUUAUUUCCCCUAUCUACUCCCAUACAAAAAUAAUUCACAUAUAAUUAAACUAGCAUUAACUUCAGCUUUCGAAAAUAUAGUUACUGCCUUAAAAGUUUAAUUGGAAAAAAUAAAUUAGUUUCAAAAUGUUAUGCAACUUUAUCUUUAAAUUUUUAUUUUUAUUUAAAGAGUUAGUUGCAUAAAUGACAAAAAAAAAAAAAAAAAGAAAAAAAAAAAAAGAAGAAGAAGAAAGAAAACUAAUAUAAUGGCAUGUAUAGCAUAUAUAUAUAUAUGCACAAGGAUAAAAUAAUUGCAUAUAUAACACAAAAAAUAGUAAAAGACUUAUACUCGUGUCCAACCAUCAUUUUUUAUGAUUCUAGAUGAAUUUCUCAAAUUAAAAACUAUCCCUAAUAGAAUUUAUAAGUGAUAAUAACUACCACUUAUGGCAUCUAUCAGUGAUAACAUAUUCUAUCACUAAUAGCAUACCACUAAUAACAUUAUUAGUGGUAGAUGUUAAAUCAUCGAUAGCUAAAUGAUUAUUUUACACACUUCUUAUAGAUUUUUUUACGUUAAAAUUAAAGCUAUUACUAAUAACUACAAUGAGUAAAUAUCAUUGGUAGUUGUUAUUGGUUAUCACUGAUAACUACUAUUAGUGAUAAAUUGUCACCAUUACAAGUAAUUUUUUUUCCAGUUUUCUUCAAUUGAAAAGCUACCAUUAAUAGCAAUUGAUAGCUAUUAUAUGUUGCUAUAACUGAUAGUUGCUAUGAAUGAUAUCUUUUAAUUUGAGAAAUAUGUUAUUAGUUGAUAUAAUUGAUAAUAGCGCUAUUAGCGAUAGCUUUUAUCAAUGAUAGUCACUGAAGGGUAGGGUAACUUUUAAUUUUAGAAAUAUGGUAUCAGUUGCUAUAGUUUGUUGCUAUCGCUGAUAACUGCUAUUAGUGAUAGCCUUCGAUUUAAGAAAUGUGAUAUCAAUUGUUAUCAUUGAUGUCUUCUAUCAACGAUGUUGCUAUCAAUUGAUAUUUCUAAUAGCUAGCUAUUAUAAGAUUUUUUUUUAUAUUGCUAUCAAUGUGAAAUGAUAUCACUAACAUUAUCUAUUAAUGUUUUUAUUAGAGGGAUAUCGUUGAUAGCAACUAUAAGCAAUAUCAUUAUAAGAAUAAUAUUUUUUAUAAAAAAUAUCUCCUUAGUAAACAUAUUGUUCGCAUGAAAUUUUCGGAGAAAUUUGAUUAGUGAAGUUGAACUUGAGUUGAUGUUGUAUUUUUGUUGAUUUGAUGUGAUGUUGUUCGAUCUCUAGAAUUUGAUCAUCUGAUUCUCUCUCGGUUGGAUGCUUAUGCCUGAUUUGAGGAAGCGGAGCACAUGAUGUUCUUGAAGUAGGAGUCUUGGAAGAAAGCUUGUAUGUUCAAAGAAGCUUCAAUAUUCGAAGGAAGUUGGAGUCUUAGAAGAGAGCUUGUGGAAGUUGGAGUCUUGAAAGAAAUUUUUUAUCUUCAAAUGAGCUUUAAUAUUCGAGAAUGGUUGAAUUAAGGAGUUAGGAAGCCUUGUAGCUCUUGGAAGAAUUCUUUUAAAAAAAUUUCAACCCCUACAAAUAAAGAGAACUCUUCUAUUUAUAGAGUUUUUUGGUGGGCUUUAUGGGCUUGAGUCUAGUUGGUCCAUGGACCAGGUCUAUAGGCUCAACCAUAUGAAUUUGGAUCAAAUUUAACAUUUGGGCUCAAUUAUGCUUAUUUUUGGGUUCAAUUGAACUUAGCCCAAGUAAAUAAUAUUUAAUUGAACAAAAAUAAUUAACUUGAUCAAACGGUUAGGAUGAAAAUAUGUGGCAUUAUCAGAAUUGACCAAUUUAUGUUUUCAAUUUUAAUUUAGGACACGUGCCAAUUAUUCUAAUUAGUCUCAAAUUUAAUUAUUUGUACUUUCAUCAUUAAUUUAGUAAAUGAUGUGACAAUUUGUGAUUAGUCUAAAAAUAUUCUAUUCAACACAUAUUAAUUUUGAAUUGAUGAGGUUUAAUUAGGUUAUCAAUGGAUAGUUUUGAUAGCUACUAUCAAUUAUAUUCUUUUAUUGUAAGGAUAUCAUCGAUAGCAUCUAUAAGUAAUAUCCCUAAUAGGCUUACUAUAUACCAAUGAUAUCAAGGUAAUGCUACUAUAAAAUGAUAUUGUGGUUGUUUGUUUUUAGCAUAAAUGGACGAAGACAAGAGAUCAAAUUAGCAUGCUAUUGGUAAUAACUUUGAAUCACUAGAUAACAUACUAUCCAUAUGAUAACUUCUAACGGAAAUUGAUAUGGUUGCAACUUUUUUAAAAAAAAUAAAUUAUUGAUUUUAGGUUAUGCUAUUAACAUUUCUAUCCUUUAGAAAUUCAAGUUAUAGUGAUAAAUUCAUGAAUAGCAUAUUGACAUAUUAGACAUGAUGUCAUGUAUAGAAGUCAUUACUGGUAGCAUGAGAGGAAGAAAAUUAAAGGACAAAAUUGACAUUUUAAAAAUUGUUAGUUUUACAAAUUUUGUUGCUAUAGAUUAUAUUUAUUUUCUAAUUUGUGCUAUUAGGUGGUGCAAUUUUCAACUUAUUUUAAUUUGGUAGGUUUUAAGAUUUAUGCUUAAAUUUUGAUUUUUUUUAAUUGAAUAUUUACUUUUUUCAUGUAGCAUCGUAUCUAUUAAUUAGUUUAAAUGAAUUAUUAUCAAUUAUAUCUUGCUAUUUUUAUCACUAUUAAUUACAAUUUAAUUUAAAAUUUAUGUAAUGUCCUAAUAGUUUCAUACCAAUAAACAAAAACUCUUCUCGUGCCAUAAAGAAGGUAGGACUCUUUGUUCAAGUCUUAGAGACACCAUUUAAGGGAACACCCAUCUAUUUACCCUAAAGUUGAGAAGGAGUGAAUUUCAUCUUGUGUAAUUAUGUUCUCAGCUCCCCACUCGGUCUUGUCCCCAAAAUGCUUAUUGAGUCGAUGAUCUGGCCACUCUCACUCUUACAAAUCAAAUGAUUAUCUCUCGUAAACAGGAAUGCAUAAUACACUAAGGAUUAAGACUAAGUUACCUAGGUUAUCCUAAUGAAAUAGAAACCUAACUAGUUAAUGGAGUUACAUCUAGUGGUUGCUAUUUUGCGGUUCGGUCUUAUACAAUCUCAUUGCAUAGGAUAUCCUUACUCGCAUGUCAACUACAUGAACGUGUUGGAUCAUUAUGUUUGUAUCAAAUACAAAGUGAGUUGUAUCCAUAGUGUUACCAGGAUAAGGUACUCAACUUUAUCCCUAUACUAUAGACCCUUUAAGUUGAUCUCGAACAUUUAUCCAUGUAUGUCUCUACAUACUAUUCAAGACUCAUUAAACAACUUAGGAUGUUAGUUUAUUAGAUUUGGGUUAUUAAGACAAAAUUAAUAAUAUAAUCAAUAAUAAUUAUUAAACAGUCAAUGGAUUAUAUUUAUAAUCUACGAGUUUUAGGACAUAAAUCUCAACAGAUUUAGCUGUAGAGAUGUUCAAUCAAUGGGUAUUGAGUAAUCAAUAGAUCCUAUUGUGUAGAAUUAGUAACACUUACUCAACCAGCUUCUAAUUAAGGCGUGCUCCUCUCGAAGUCAUUAAACGCCACACAUGGUCACCUUUCGAGACCCAUAUGACUAAGCGAGAUUACGCAAGAUAUAUCUAGAAUGAUUCAUUUAUAAACCUUAUAGGUCUUCACGAUUAAGAACAACAACCUCUCAGUGCCUAAUGUCCACACUUGUUCGCCUUUUGGGAUACAAAUGUUGGAAGUUAUCUUGCAAGGUAGAGUUUGUUUCCAAACUCCUCUUUACUCGCGUUAGCCUUAUCCUUGCUAUUUGCCCUCUUAGAUAGUUAGUGAUAUACGUUGGUCAAGCGAUAAACAGAGUUCAACUAACGCGACAAGAAUUAUAAAUUGAACUUAUUAUCAAGAACUUAUCACAAACCUAGCUACCAAUAACACAUUGACAAGUGAAAAGUCAAGAAAUGAUGGAUUGAAAAGGUAUAAACAUGUAAUAUAUAUAAAGAAUGUAGGCCUUCGACCAUCAUACAAUAUGAACAGAAUAAAUAUUAUACAAAUAAUACAGAAAGGGAAGACAGAAGAAUGAGAAUGAAUAAAAGUUAUGGAAAUGGGAAAUGGAACCUUCACCACUCAGACUCUAAGCUCUCACUUACAGUAUGGUUGGAGAAGAAGAAGAUAAUCCUUACAGACGAUGAAAAGGUUACUCCUUUUCGCCUUUUCCUCUCUCUAGGGUUUGGCCUAUCUAGGCACAAGAAAUGGCUCAUUCAAGGGUGUCUUCCUUGGUGAAGGAGUUCUUUUAUAGGCAACUUUUAGCGGAAAACUUCUACUCUCCUAAGCAUGUUAGCACUGCACGUCAAAAGGUAUUUGUAGAAAGUCACAUCAUCUCCAACUGCCAUUCUUGUCUUCUAGUAAAUCGAUUCUCUGGUUGUGAUUUUGUCUUUUCGCCUAUUUUUCUGGCGAUAGACUCUCUGAUUUGCUAACUUCUUCUAUUGUUCAUAGACCUGCAUUUAGACACUGAAAAUCGCGUAAAAUAGGCAUAACACUUAUGUAAAGUGUAUUUCUGAAUAAUUAUGAAUUUACAAUACAAUCUAUGUGUUUUGGCCUCGAUAUUCUAUAUAAGAGACUAUAAUAAUGUGUAUUUCUACACGUUAUUAAAGUCAUUCGCUAUGCCAUGAAGUAUGUGAAUGACCAGCUAAGGGCCAUUACAGAGUGGCCAAAGUUAGCACUGCAGGAUGAAAUCGCAACCCACCAUGAAGUGUUAGACAGUUGCAGGCUGCACUUGAGCUAAGUAGGUUGGAUAGGGCGCGCUGCAUGCAGAUAUUGAUGUGCAAUUUGGCUUAUAUGAAAGCUUUCUUUCACGUACUCAAAGACGUGAAGAUGGAUUACUGCACAGUCAUUCUACGAGAAGACGUUUGAUUGUUUGUCCAAUUCCACCGCCUGUCCUUAUCUUUUUUUGUGUUUCUUUAUGUUCAAUGUAUUUGACUUUAGUUUGUAAUUCACUUUCACCAAACUUUUUUAGUUUUAAUUUCUUUUCGUAUUAAUGAAGUUUUGUUUCACGUAAUUCACAUUUCCAUUUGUUAUUUCAAUGUUUACGGGGUGCGUGUCACAGUAAAAAAAGGCAAUUUAAUGAAACAUAAUGACUAACUUCAAUAAUGUUGAAUACGAAUGUUGUCGUAAUAGAAAUUAAGGCAAAUUGCUACACGUAACUUGGGACAAUUUGGUAUAUAAAAAACAUGCAAUUUGUGUAUUGGAUUAAGAAUAUGAAUUUGAACAAAAAAAAAAAAAAAAAACAUUCACAACAUACCCACAUAACCCUUCCCCCAAACACAUCUUAUCAUAGCCCUAUCAUAAUCAUACUCACAUUACCCUUCCCCUAAACACAUCUUAUCAUAAGACUAUCAUAACCCUACCCACAUAAUCCUUCCUCCAAACACAUCUUAUUAUAACACUAACUUAAUAAACAUUUUUCUCAAACACAUCAUAUCAUAACACUAGUUUUUUCAUAACCCUGACCCUUCCAUAAACCAAUCAUUCCUCCAAAUGACCCAUUAGUUUCUAUAAAAAAUCAGUUAUGUAUUUUGACUGAGAAAGAAAUAAGUGGCUUCAACUUCGAGAAAGUAGUUGAGUUGACCAAAGUCUUUGAGAGCAAAUUUGUUGUUCAAGGAAUUUAUAAAAGCAUUUAUUUGUUUGGUGGAGUUGUCCAUAAUAAUAAGAUCAUAAACAUAAAUCAAUAUAUAUAGCAAUAUAUAUAGCAACAUGAAUUAUCAGUCAUGUGAACUAAUUAAGAUGAAUCAGCUUUAGAUGUUCUAAAGUCAAGUAAGUUUAAAGUGAAGCUUAGUUAUUUCUCAUAUCACGCACUACGGGCUUGUUUUAACCUAUAUAAGCCUUCUUUAGGUGACAAGUAGGUUGACUACUAUACACCUCAAAACUAAAAGGUUGUUCCAUAAAAUCGUUAAUUCUCUAAGAGGUUUCUAGAAGAAAUGCAUUGUUGACAUCAAGUUGUCUUAUCGACCAACCCUUCAUAACUACUAUUGUUAAGAGCAUACAUAUAGUCAUAGGUUUGACUACAGGACUAAAUGUUUCAUUAUAAUCAAAAUUAGGUAUCUAAUAAAACCCUUUUUCAACCACAUGCUUUAUAUCUAGCAAUGGGACCAUCAGAGUUCCUUUUAAUCUUAAACACUAACUUAUAACCAAUAAUUUUAUGACUUAAAGGUCUAGAAGCUAAUAUAUCCAGGUAUUAUUCAGGUGUAAGGCAUUAAACUCAUCUUCGGUAGCUUUCUUCAAAUAAUGAUGUCUUAAAGCUUCUUUCUUACUACAUGGUUCAUGUUGAAUGUAAUUAACUAACAAGACUUUAGGUUUAAAGAUUUCGCUCUUACCUCGAGUAAUCAUUGGAUGAGUAAAGACAACUAUUGUGUUUUUGUUUAUGGAAGCACUGUUAGCAACAGGCAGUGCAUCUGUGGAUAGAGUAUGAGAGGUAGUUUCUUCUCAAUAUCACCAUUCUUAGUAUCAGUUUAGGAGCUACUUUGAGUAUACGUCUCAAAAGGGUGCAUAUUAGUAUGAUUUAGAUGAUCAGUAGUAUAAAAAAAUGUGUAAAGAAAAUGCUUUUCUGCGUUAUGGUUCAUAUUUGGGUUGCUGAGAAUGGUGUUAACUGGUGGACAGUUGACAAUUGUUUGAGUUUUAGAAUAAAAGUAGUUGGAGAGACAGACAUAUAGAAAUGACUUGUUCUUAAAAAAGAACAUGUCUAUAUAUAUAUAUAUGCGACCACCAGGGGAUUGACAUUUAUAACCUUUUUAAGAGGUACUAUAUCCUUGGAAUGUGCAUGGUUAUGAUCUAAAGGACAAUUGUGAGAUUAAUAGAUCCUUAAGUAUGGAUAUCAUUUGCAGCCAAAGGUUCUAAGUAAUGGAUGUUUAGAUUUUUUAUCAAAUAAAUUCUCUAGAGGGACUAAUGUUUUGUAGGACAAGUGUGGGAAGCCAAUUGAUAAGGUAUACAUUGGUAGAAAAGGCUUCAUGUCAGAUGUUUAGGGGAAGAGUGGCUUGGGAUAGGAGAGUAAGUCUCAUAUCCAUGAUAUGUCUAUGUUUCCUUUCCAUUAUCCCAUUUUGUUGUGAGGUAUGUGGGCAUGUUAUGCGAUGUUCAAUUCCAUGUUGAUGAAGUAAGGGAAUGAAUGGUUUAAAUUCAUUUCCUCCAUCAGUUUGAAGGGAUAGGAUUGGUUGGUUUAGAUAGUUUUCAACAUAUGUGUUUUAAAUUUCUGAAAAGCACGAAAGGGAUCAGUCUUGAAGUUCAUAAAAUAGAUCCAUGUGUGUCUACUAAAGGCGUCUAUACAAAGCGGACAUAAUAUUGAAAUCCAUUUUUUAGAUGUGUUAAAUGUAGAACCCCACAAAUCACAUACAAUGAGUUGUAAUGAAUGUUGGAAAGGGAGGAGCAUGAUGUUUUCCUAUUGCACAAGCUUCACAAAAUUUCAAUUUAUUAACAUUCAUAGUAGGAUGCAUAUAUACCAUUUUUCAAGACAUUUUUAACAACAAAUAGGUGGGGUUGGCUUAGUCUUUUGUACCGGUCAUCAAAAGAGAUAAUGAAAUUGUAAACACUCAAGGCUUCAGGUAUUGGAAGGGAUGGAUGGAUGUUAAACUUGUAUAGCCCAUCACUGAGUACCCCUUGGAGGAGUUUCCACUAGUUCCCUUGUCCUUCACAUAACAAACAUUUAGAUUAAAUCAAAGAAAACAUUAGUGUUUAAAAAAUUGAGAUACAUUAUUUAUGAGAUUCUUUUUAAUGGAUGGAACAUGUAGAAGGUCGUUAAGGCCAAGAGAUUUCAAAGAUUCUUUGUAAUAGUGCAAAAUUGGCAUUGAGGUAGAUUCACUAUGAGCUUUUUGAGUGAGUAAACGUGAGGUAACCUCUUGAAUAAAGGAAGAAUCAGUUCGGGCAAAAAUCACAGAAAUCAUGGACUGAUAUCAAAUCCUAAACUAGCAAGUAUGUAUAAAAUAUGAUAGGCUGUGAAAAUUGGUUUAUCAAUAGAGGUAAGGGAAUCAACGCAUUGUUAAAUUUUCAUGAAAUACUCCUUUAAGGUCAAGCCUCCCUUUUUUAGAUUAUGGAGUUUUCUUUUCUUGAUUUGCAUUGUCUUUUGGCUAAAUAUCGUUAAGAAAAAAUACUUUGAAGAGUUUGCAGGCCAGAUUUUCCUGGCUGAGGUGCAGUGUAGCAUUUGGUUGAGUAUUUUCUCGCCCACGGAGCUAAGGAACCAAGAUGAAAUCAGAUGGUCCUGACGUUUCCAUUUUGUAUAUUUGAGAUUUAAAGUUUGCGCAGUUUAUGAUGAAGAGAUAUUGGUGGUGGUGGUGUUGUUGCGGUUUGUAUUUGGAUGAAUUUCGAAGGUGGUUCUGUCGAUGGAUCAACAAAAUUCUCAAGAUCAUAGGCUUACAAUACUGUGAGAAUUUGAAAUUUCCAAAGGAUGAAAUUGUCAUCUCCUAAUUUUACCACAAAGAUUUUGUUUCCAGAACUGAAGGUCUAUGAGAUGGAUGAUGAUCCACUAGUUGAGUCGGCACUGAGAAGAGAUGAAGAGGUGUUCAUCCUUGAGUGAAUAAAAGAACUCAUUUGAAAAACAUAGCUAUGGAGCGGCCAAAGCUGGAAAAAAAAAAAGGAAUAAAGUCAUGAGACUAGACAUCAUUUCUCUGAUCACAUGUUAAAAUUGUAAAGAGAAAACUUUGGUUUUCCUUCUUAUUAUUUGAUAUUGGUAACAAUCAUCAUAUAAUUAGAAAAGCAGGGAUGAAGACUUCUUACAAUGAACACACCCACAGUAGACUAAUUAAUACAAGGUAAAGACAAAUUUUGGAAGAUGAGGCUUUGUGUAUAAUGGGUCAUUGAUACAAUGAGAAAAAAUGAAGAAUGAGAAAGAGAACCUUAAUGGUAUAUCUUAACAAUGGCCAUUCUUUUUUUAAAAAAAGCACGAUGCCCUUCGAAUUUGUAAUUGGAAUAUAUAUGAUCAAUAGAUGGAUGACACCUUGCAACUACGAAGGUAUUAAAGAAAAUGACUAAAUUAUAAAAAUUGUACAUUACUAGUUGUGUAAAAAAAAUGUUUCUCAAGUUUCAAAAGUAUAAAAAUAUCCUUUACUUUUAAAUUGAGUUAAAAAAUAGUGUUUUGAUUAAUUUCAAAUCAAAAUCAGUAAACUUUAUUCAAUUUAAAUCGGUCCCAUAUUAACCUUUACGGGCAUUUUUUAACUUUUAAAAACUUUUAAAAUUGAUUUUUGUCCUGAGAAAUUAAUGAUUUUUUUUUUCAAAUACCAACUUUUUUAACUUUAUUGAGGUAAGGGUAUUUUUUAAUUUUUCUAAAUUUAAUGAUAUUUUUUAAACGCUUCAAAUGACUGACAUUUUAUAUGAUGUUAUUUGAAAAAAAAUGGAUGUUUUGAAAAAAAAAAUUGGAAAAUGGAUGUUUUCAAAACUAUUUGGGUGAGAGGUGGAUUUUUUUGUCAUUUUGUGUGGUGGGUCCUAUUUUUAUAAAUUAUUAUUCUUUUUUAAAUAUUAUUGUUGUUAUAUUAUUAUUGUUGUUAUUAUUAUUAUUAUUAUUAUUCUUAUUAUUAUUAUUAUUAUUAUUAUUAUUAUUUAUUAUUAUUAUUAUUAUUAUUAUUAUUAUUAUUAUUAUUAUUAUUAUUAUUAUUAUUAUUAUUAUUAUUAUUAUUAUUAUUAUUAUUAUUAUUAUUAUUAUUAUUAUUAUUAUUAUUAUUAUUAUUAUUAUUAUUAUUAUUAUUAUUAUUAUUAUUAUUAUUAUAUAUUAUUAUUAUUAUUAUUAUUAUUAUUAUUAUUAUUAUUAUUAUUAUUAUUAUUAUUAUUAUUAUUAUUAUUAUUAUUAUUAUUAUUAUUAUUAUUAUUAUUAUUAUUAUUAUUAUUAUUAUUAUUAUUAUUAUUAUUAUUAUUAUUAUUAUUAUUAUUAUUAUUAUUAUUAUUAUUAUUAUUAUUAUUAUUAUUAUUAUUAUUAUUAUUAUUAUUAUUAUUAUUAUUAUUAUUAUUAUUAUUAUUAUUAUUAUUAUUAUUUAUUAUUAUUAUUAUUAUUAUUAUUAUUAUUAUUAUUAUUAUUAUUAUUAUUAUUAUUAUUAUUAUUAUUAUUAUUAUUAUUAUUAUUAUUAUUAUUAUUAUUAUUAUUAUUAUUAUAUUAUUAUUUAUUAUUAUUAUUAUUAUUAUUAUUAUUAUUAUUAUUAUUAUUAUUAUUAUUAUUAUUAUUAUUAUUAUUAUUAUUAUUAUUAUUAUUAUUAUUAUUAUUAUUAUUAUUAUUAUUAUUAUUAUUAUUAUUAUUAUUAUUAUUAUUAUUAUUAUUAUUAUUAUUAUUAUUAUUAUUAUUAUUAUUAUUAUUAUUAUUAUUAUUAUUAUUAUUAUUAUUAUUAUUAUUAUUAUUAUUAUUAUUAUUAUUAUUAUUAUUAUUAUUAUUAUUAUUAUUAUUAUUAUUAUUAUUAUUAUUAUUAUUAUUAUUAUUAUUAUUAUUAUUAUUAUUAUUAUUAUUAUUAUUAUUAUUAUUAUUAUUAUUAUUAUUAUUAUUAUUAUUAUUAUUAUUAUUAUUAUUUAUUAUUAUUAUUAUUAUUAUUAUUAUUAUUAUUAUUUAUUAUUAUUAUUAUUAUUAUUAUUAUUAUUAUUAUUAUUAUUAUUAUUAUUAUUAUUAUUAUUAUUAUUAUUAUUAUUAUUAUUAUUAUUAUUAUUAUUAUUAUUAUUAUAUUUAUUAUUAUUAUUAUUAUUAUUAUUAUUAUUAUUAUUAUUAUUAUUAUUAUUAUUAUUAUUAUUAUUAUUAUUAUUAUUAUUAUUAUUAUUAUUAUUAUUAUUAUUAUUAUUAUUAUUAUUAUUAUUAUUAUUAUUAUUAUUAUUAUUAUUAUUAUUAUUAUUAUUAUUAUUAUUAUUAUUAUUAUUAUUAUUAUUAUUAUUAUUAUUAUUAUUAUUAUUAUUAUUAUUAUUAUUAUUAUUAUUAUUAUUAUUAUUAUUAUUAUUAUUAUUAUUAUUAUUAUUAUUAUUAUUAUUAUUAUUAUUAUUAUUAUUAUUAUUAUUUAUUUUAUUAUUAUUAUUAUUAUUAUUUAUUAUUAUUAUUAUUUAUUAUUAUUAUUAUUAUUAUUAUUAUUAUUAUUAUUAUUAUUAUUAUUAUUAUUAUUAUUAUUAUUAUUAUUAUUAUUAUUAUUAUUAUUAUUAUUAUUAUUAUUAUUAUUAUUAUUAUUAUUAUUAUUAUUAUUAUUAUUAUUAUUAUAUUAUUAUUAUUAUUAUUAUUAUUAUUAUUAUUAUUAUUAUUAUUAUUAUUAUUAUUAUUAUUAUUAUUAUUAUUAUUAUUAUUUAAUUAUUUAAUUUAUAAAAAAACAGUGUUAUCUCUUAAAUCGUAAUUUUAUUGUUUAAUUUAUUUCGUUUUUAAUAAAAUUAAUUAUCUUUUGAUAUUUUAAUGGUUUUUUCUUUUAACUUUAUAAAUUUUGAUAUUGUAUAGAUUCAAUUUUCAAAUGUUUUAUUUUGUUACAAAAGAAAAUAUUUAGUAAUUUCAAAUUCAUGAAAAUUAGAAAUGAUUUGUUAUUAAAAAUAAAGGUAAUAAGAGAUGAAAGGACAAAUUUAAGGAUAUGGUAUAAAUCAAUAAUAAACCGAUUGUGUGUACAUGUGUGUGAUUGAAAAAUAAAUGUAAAUCAUUUUUUUUAAUUUUAUAAAAAUAAUUUUACAAAAAAAAUUAUUUUUUUUGUGGAUUUUGUUAUUUUAAACAUUUAAUAUUGUAACAUUGUACCCUUUUACAAGUUCAAAAUUUUGCUUAAAAUAUAUACAAAAGGGAAUUUAAAAGCAUAUAUAUAUAGAGAGAGAGGUAAAUAGAUACAUAGAUAGAGCAAUAAAAAUAAAAAUAAUAAAAUAAUAAAUAUAAUAAUAUUAUUAUUAAUACUAAAAAUAAAAUAAUUAUAAUUAUAAUAAAAUAAUAAUAAUGAUAAUAAUUAAAAAUAGGGUUUUUAACUCAUAUAGUCUAAUUUACCCGAGGAUAUUAAAAAACACAAAUUGCUAAUACUUUACACAAAUGUAUCAAAUGGGCCACAAUAUUACAUAAAAUAGGCCCAAAUUACAAAUAUACUCAUAUGAUAGUUUUUUCACACAAUAUACAGAAUUAUUUUAAAAUAGAAAAUCGGAGAAGAUCGUGGGUCAUUAAAAUAGAAAAGUGGUGGAAAGGUUUCUCACUUUCUCACCACUUUCCAUAUUCAAAAAAAUCAAUUCAAUUUCGACAGUGAAGAAAUUAUUCGAUGAUUCUGUUUUCGACUCAAAGAAUAAGGGUUUCAUCGAUUUCGACAAUGAAGUGGGAUCCGUUUUCGGCGACCAGUUCUCUAUUUACCGACGGACGAAAAAUACGAGGUUAGAUUGUAUAUAUUCAAUAAACAGUAUACAUUUUGUAUAUUACAUAGAUUAAAGAUAUUAGUCUGAUAAGGCAACGAAAAAAAAUGAAAUUUUGCAUUUGUUAUAUCCUAGGUUUUAUUGAGGUUUCGAAGUGAAGAGGAUCGUCGCAUGAGGGUUUUCCUAUAGAUAUUGGGUAUAUCUUAAAUGUUCAUUUAGUAUAUGUUGAAUGUUCUAAUUGUUGAGCAAAUGCAAAAAUGUAAUUUUUAUUGUGACAUACUCUUGUGUUUAUUGAGAUUAUGAGUUUUGGGGCUCAACUGAAAUGUAGUUUGAGUUCAUUUGGUACUCUAAGUUUCUUUAACUUAUUUGACAAUGCAACGUGCUUUACAUAUGUUAAAUGCUGGCAGUGUAAAAAAUGGUAAGACGAAGUGAAAGAUGUCUUGGGUCUAGGAUGAAAAAAUCAAGAACAAACGAAGAUAAUUCAAUCCUUCUCGAUGAUUAUGAGGUAUAUUUAAGAUUAAUUGUUAUAAUUUGUUACUUUGUUGAUGUUUGAUAUGCAAAUAUAUUUUAAUUAUAUUGUAUUCAUCUAUAUCAUAGGAUGAAAAGAUAUCAAGUUCUCAAGAGAUUUAUGAAGAAAAUCAAAUGGAUUACAAACAUAUACAAACAGUGUACCCAGGUGAGGAUGAAUAUGAUAUAACAGGACCAAAUGACACUCAAAUUGUUCUGUACGAUGAAAACUUAGCAAGUAAAAGAAAAAUAAAGGUAGAAAUGCCAGUUCAGAAAUUGGAUGCACAAGAAACAGAGGUUAGUUAAUUGUUGUAUAUAUUUUGUAAACCUAAUGUUAAGAGAGUUUAGUUAAUAUGUAUGUAUAUAAACAUUGUUGUAUAUAUUUUAUAAAAAAGAUGUAUACUUAAUAGGCUGUGACAAGAGGUAUACUUAGUAAUGUACUGGUAUAUGAUGUUCUAUUAGAAAUCAGAAGGAUCAAAGAACACUGAAUUACCCGUCGAAGAAAGUGAUGAAUCUGAUGAGAUAUAUUUAAAUGGAAGCAAUAUCACUUUUGUUAUUAUUGUUAACUACUUAUAGGUAUAUUUGACAUAUAUGAUGUAUAUUUGACAAAAUAAUGUAUUGAUAGUUAAAAGAAAGUUAAUAUACAUAAAUGAAAAAGUCAAAAAGAAAAUCUCAGGAAUCUCAUAAAAAUAAGAGAAAGUUGUCAGAUGCAGACAAAGCGAAACAAGGACAUACUGAAAAGAAAACAAAAGUACAAGAAGUUUUGAAAAGAAGUGUAGAGAAAUCAAAUACAACAAAGAAAUCAAAAGUGCAAAAAGACUAAAAAAAAGUGUAGAAUCAAAAAAGGUAUUUUUUUUAUGUACUCAUAUAUAUCAUUUGAUGCAUACAAUGAAUUAUAACUGGGAUUUAUUAUAUUGUAAUAAAUAUUUAUAAUGUUAACAGAAAACAAAUAUAAAAAAUAGGACUGCAGAAAAGAGAGAUGCAAAUCACGAUUUGAAGGAUGUAUUUUUUCUCAUAUAUCAUAUAUGUUGUCAAAUAGAUAUAAUAUAUUCUUUAUAUGGUGGAGUAUAUUGUGAUAUACUCAUAUAUAUAAUUUUGUCCAUCAUCUAAAUUAUAAUUAUGAUUAAUUAUAUUGUAAUGAAUAUUUAUAUUGUGAACAGAAAGCAAAAAUAAAAAAUAGGAAUGCAUAAAAGAGGGAUGCAAAUAAUGAUUUGAAUGUGGUUCUUUGUCAUAUAUCAUAUAUGUUGUCAAAUAGAUAUAAUAAGGCAGAAAUAUUAACUUGUCUUAAUAUUAAUGUUUGCAGGUUGGACCACUAAUCCUGAAAAGGAAUAAAUGGUCUAGAUCAUAGAAACUUAGUAUAUAUGCACGUCUAGAUGUUAUUACAAACAUUAAAAAAAAAAAAAAAAAAACUGAAUAGGGAGCAAAUAGAGAUGUUUAGGAGUUCUCUGUUUAGUAAUUUCCUUGAUCUAAAAAUAACUAAAUUUCAAAGUCAAUUGCUAUUUCAUAUCAUAAGACGACAAUGUGCCUUGACCAAGGACGACGAACUUUGGUUCAACUUUGAAGGUAAUAUAGCUAAGUUUAGAAUUAGGGAAUAUGAAGCCACAACUGGUUUGAAUUGUGGUCCUUUACCACAAUUGAACAUGGAGAAACUGAAGGUUGAUUUUUAGGAAAGUAUUUCAAAAAUGAGGAUAUUAUAUCGAGGUCAAGGUUGACGACAUAUAUCUUCAACGACUCUAAGAAAGUAAAAGAUGAAGAUAGAGUGAAGUUGACAAAAAUUUAUUUCAUAGAAAACAAUUAACAACAGGGGUAGAUGUUGAGAUAGAUUCAAUAAAGAAGUCUAUGAAAAACCCUUCAGCUCUAGCAGUAAGUAUUUCUAGAUUUGCUUAUGCAAUUUUAGUAUGGGCAUAUGAAUGUAUACCACUAUUGAGUGGACCGUCCAUGUUCUGUGCUAAAAGAGUUGGUGAUAGCAAUUUAUGCAUGAUAAACUGGGUUGUUGACACACAUCCAAAAUGAAAGGAAUUGGCUGAAAGGGUCUUUGACACUAAUCGGGUAAUGAACGAAGUUAACUAAAUUGAAAUAUAUUCAAAUUCAAUAUGUAUAUAUACUAUGUACGCAAAUAUACUUAUGUACACUACUUUUGAAAUUUUAGUUUGUGUUUAAGGAGUUGUUUUCUGAUGAAGAUGUCGUGGAAGGAAGUAUGUUCCAUGGUACUGAAACCAGAAAUUUUGAAAAAUGAGAAUGCUCUAAAGAAUAUAAGGGUAUUAACACUCAGAUUCCUGAGUAUUUCCUAACAUUCCAGGAAAUUAUGUUGGCAAACAAUGAAAAUUAAAUAAGAAGCUGGACAAACUCAUUAGAGAGGUUGAAGAGAUAAAAAAUAAAUUGACUAAUAGAAGUAGUUCAAUGACUGAAGAAGAAACUUGGGAAGAUAGGGAUGAGGAUCAUGAUGGAGGAAACGGUGAAAGAGAUGACAGAUUGGUGGACGAUGGAGAAGAUGGUAAUACAUAAAAUAUAAAUAUGGAUGAAGAAGAUGACAUAACUACAAUAGUAAAUAGUGAAAAUGAAGCUGGAAGGGUAUGAUGUUAUGACUAGUAUAUGUAUAGUUAUUUUUUUUAAACACGUAUGUAAAUUAUAUAUUUAGUAUUGUGUAUGUAUUCUUGAUUGACAGGAUGGACAGAACGAGAGCGUAAAUGACAUGAUAUACAACAUAACUCUACUAAAGGAAGUAGAACAAAUAGAAAAAGAAGCAAGGUUAUUACAUUUCUUAAAUCAUUUAUGUAUUAGUGAUUUUAUGAAUUAAAUGAUAAACUGAAAAUGAAGUUUAUAAUGUUUAUUGCAAACCAAGAAAUUGGGGAAAAACAUAUUAAUCAAAGAGGAGCUGUGAAAACUAAAGAUGUAUAAGAAAAAUGUUCGAAAUAUAUGACAUCUAUUAUCUAUAUACCAUGAUAUUUUUUAGAUGAUUAAUUAGGAAAGAGAAAGAGAGAUUUUUGCUUCCAAACAAUCAGUGAGGAGGAGCCUAAGGAAAGGAAAUCAUCCAUAAAAAAUAUUUAGGUCAUCGUUCACAACCAAAUUUGGAUCAGCCAAGCCAAAGAAGGAAAAGUUAGAGAUCACCAAUCAAGGGUUUGAAGGUCCAAGUUUCAAAUUAUUAUCCCAAUGACUUUAGUAAUUUUAAGUUGAAUAGGAUAGAGUUAAUGUUCAAGGUUAUGUGAUGAAGAGAAACUUUAAUUUCUGAAUUCAUUUACUUGUAAUUUUCGUAAAGAUUAAUUGUUGUAAUUUUCGCUCAAUAUGAAUCUUAAAAGUAUAUUUGGAACAAGUUGUGAUUCUUAUAAGUGAUGGUAUGUUUUUUAUAUUCAAUCCAAUGUUAUAGCAAUUUGAUGAAGUUAUAUAAAUUUUAUUUGUAUGGGAAGGUGUAUGAUUAGAGAGAACAUAAUAAUUUGUUUUUUAUUAUCACAAAGAAUUUAGUAAUUUUCACUUGAAUAUGAUAUAGUUAAUGUUGAAGGUUAUGUAAUAAAGAAAAAAAUCAAUUUCUGUAAUCAUUUACAUGUACUUUUCGUUCUGAUUAAUUGGUGCACUGCAAUCACAAAGACGUAAAAGUCAUUAUUAUUUAUAUGAUGUAGUAUGUUGUUACAUGGUGUUCAUUGUUCAUGGAAUUAUUGUUUGAAUUAAAAUAAAAUGUUCAAUAUAAAUCUUAUAAGUAUAUUUGAAACAAGUUGUAAUUCUUAUAUGUGAUAGUAUGCAAUUUAUAUUUAUUUAAAUGUUAUAACAAUGGUAGUGGUAGUGCAUAUGGAAAUAAUAAAAAAUUAUAAUAUAAAAUACAAUAAUAAAAAAUAGAAAUAAUUAAAUUAAAAUCUUAAAUAAACGUAAAGUUAAAACAAAUUGAAUAAUAAACGUAAUUUUUUUUAAACAAUAAUAUAAAAUACAAUGAAAAACUAGCUAGAUAAGAAAAACUUGCAUCGCUUUCUGUUAUGCCCAUAGCGCCCACAACGGCCACAUUUUAUCAGUCUCUUGAACUCCAAUUUAGAAGGGAUUCUAAUCUUCUUGGGUCUAAUGGACGUUUUACAUUAGGUGACAGGAUGUCAAUGGAUAAAACAUCAUCAGGUACUUGUCAUUGUCGAUGAUCACCUAACGGGUUUAUUAAUUCUUUAUAGAUUGAACUUAGUGUGUUGUUCAAAUAAUAAUGUGAAACAAACGGUUUUAUUGACAAAUAUUUUACGGUAAGAACAGUGCAUGCAUGCGCACAAGGUAUUUGCAAUAUAUCUCACAUCCUACAAGUACAAAUCUUCGAAGGCAAGUACACAACAUAUUGAGAUGUGUCAUGGAUGACCUAGUAUUUCAUAUUGUUGACUGGAUUGACCUACAUAGAUAAUUACAUGUAGAAGAUAAUUAGGUAUAUAUUAGAUAAUAAGAUGUAUAUAUUAAUAUAUAUUUAGAUUAUAAGUUAAAUAUACCUCCAUAGAUCGACUAUUUUCAAUUUGUUUCCUUAUAAUACCUUCAACAAUUUUUGUAAAAUCUAUAACUUGAUAGGCUGCUUCAUUUCUACGAUAAAAAAAUCACAUAUGCAGCAUCAUUCUCAAUACCUCAAACAUUGAACAUAUUGACAACUCCCUAGCCUUGAUAAUUGCAUUAUUUAGAUUCUCAGAUAUGUUGGUAGUCAUGACAUUAUAUCUACUAAGGGGUGAGUAGGCACGAGACCACCUUGAAAAUCCAAUCGAUUGUAACUCCUCACGUAUACCAAGUGCAUUAGAUUCCAACAAACGCAUUUGUUGUUCAAGAUCAACAACAUUGUAAGUCUUGCCACAUGCAUGGAACACGAUAUCAACUAUUGAUCUAUAGUUCAACUUCAAGUUCCUAAGUAAAUGAACCAUACACAUGCAAUGUAGAACAUUGGGAAAUACUACCUCUAUCGCUUUACAUAUACUUUUAUGUCGGUCAGAUACUAUCACAAUGUCAUUCCUACAACCAAUGAUUCACUUUAGUUGAUUGCAAAACCACGUCCAAGAGGUAUCAUUUUCAGAAUCGACAACACAAAAUGCUAGUGGUAAAAUUUGAUCGUUGGCAUCAGGAAUUGAAGCAGUUAAAAGAGUACCUCAUACUUAUUCUUCAUGCUUGUUCCAUCAAUAGAUAUGACUAGACGACAAUGUUGCCAAGCAACAAUAGAAGCAUAUAAUGCCAUGAAGAAAUAUAGAAAUCUACCAUCCGCAUCGACUCGGUAUUCAACAAUAGAGCCUAUGAACAUAACAAAUAUUGACAUUAAAGAACAACAAUUUGUUAAUGACAAAUAUAUUACAUAGGUCGUUAGGUAUAUUAUUAAUAUACUUGGAUUCUUAAGAUUCAACAUGUAUGCAAAUUUGGCGAUCAUCUUGUAGGAAUCCUCUGGAGAACCUCUAAUCUCAUCCAACGCAACCUCACGUGCACGCCAUACUUUUUGGUAAGAUAUGUUUAAGUUAUGUUCAACACGAACAUAAUGAACUAUAUCUUUAGGAGUGGACAAUUCUGAACCAGCUAACUGAUUUUGUUCUUUAUCAAGUCCUUAAUAACCGUAAAGGUAGCUUGUCUAUGGUCUGUAAGUGGAACAUCGACUGAACAUGUAUGCUCAGAAUCGAACCUAGUAAGAACCCAUAAUGUCCUAUCACCAUGAUAGCAACAAGAAGCACACAAUGACCAUUGACAAUCUUCAAUUACACACUGCAGAAUCAAGACCUACUAUUUGAUUUUACUGUAACGUAUUGAAAGUUAUCUCUAAGGGCAAUAGCUUGAACAGACUGUUUCAAUAAAGAUUUGGUUGAAAACAUGUCUUGGUGUUUUAGUGAAAAGUUGGAAUCUAUCUUAGACAUAUCUAUGGUUUAAAAAAAAAUGACCCACAUCUGAAUGGAUUUCAGUUUGAAAUGAACUUGAGGACGAUGGACAAAAAGAAAUAGCUAAAACACCAACACAAUAAACAGUAAGGGCAAUAUGUUGUUCAACGUUCAAUGUUAUUAUAUGGUAAAUCCAUUUAACAUCGUUGUCAUUCUUUAUUCUCAUAUAUUUUUUAAGACAUUUCUAUAGGAUCUAAGCAAAGGUAUAUCUCAAAAUUGUUCAUAUCAAUGAAACUACCUAACUUAGAUCUAAGGACAUUGGACAAUACAGUAUAUGACAAAUGUUCAUCAACUAUUAUUUCAGACACACUGUAACUAACGUAAUUGUUAGUUUCAUUGAAAAAACCAUCGAAAUAGACUGCAAUACUGGUCAUCCUGACACACAAAUAUUACAAUAUAGGUUAUUAUAAAGUAUAAUUGUAAAUAGUAUAUGGUAUAUAUUAUAUAAAACAGCAUCUAAAAGUAUUAUAUCUCACAGGUAAUAUAUAAAACUAAUAUAAAUGUAAAUAAUAAAUCACAUAUACAAAGUAUUCUAUAUUAUGAUAAUAUUAUAAAAUUAGUAUAAUUAUAAAUAAUAUGUGGUAUAUAUUUACUAAAUCACAUCAGGAAACCAAUAUAAUGAGGGGUAUAUCGUUAAAAUAUACGAUAUAUACACAAAUGAUAUACUCUUAAUGAUCUAAUCAUGUAGUUAUGGUGUUUAACUAUUUAAUUUUAAAUGGGUAAAAGAACUGUUGGAAUUUUUUGUCCUAAAACUCGUAGUUUGUAAUCAUAUUCUGUUCAAUAAAGUUGUUAUUGAGAAAUUAAAUAUUAUAAUCCUAAAUCCAAUAAAUCAAGUUCCAAGGCUAUUUUUUGAAUAAACUUGAACUUUAUGUGUAAACAUAAACGUGGAUCAAGUUCGAGUAUAUAUAGUCUAAAUAGUCUAUAGUAUAUGAAUAAAGGUUGGGCGCCAUAUUUAGAGAAACUAUGGAUGCGGCCCACUUUGUAGUACAAACGAGGUGAUCCUAAUCGUUCAUGUAGAGACAUGAAAGUGGGGGCAUCCUAUGUAAAGUGUUUACAUAAGACUGAACCAUGAAUUAGUCUUUUUUACGUUAUAACACCGUUUACUGUUUAAAACUGACUAUCUCGAUUAUUGAUGACCUAGGUAACUUAAUCUUAAUCCUGAGUUAACUAUGAACUCCUGUUCACACGAGAUUAUCCUUAGAUCUGCAUAGGUGAGGGCAGCUCAUCAGCGUUGGCCCAAUAAGCCUCCCAUUUCAGGGGUAAGAUCGGGUGGAUAGCUGGAAACAUAGGGUACAAGAUGGAAUUCACUCCUACUCGCUUUAUGGUUAGUAGAUAGAUUGUUCUCUUAAGCACUGAAUCCAAGUCUUGAACAAGGGGCCUCACCCUCUCAUUAGCCCGAGAGGAAUUAAGUUUAUAGGUUGAACCUUAAACCAAUUGUUCAAUAGUGGAUUAGUGGGACUUAAGGAGCAAGAUGUAAUCUUGGGGUAAAACGGUAUUUUGACCCAGCCAAGGUUACGAGUAACCUGUGAAGGAUUAACUUACUGAUUAUGGUUUUAUCAAUUGGACACAAAUAUAUCUAUAGUGAGGGGAGUGCAACUACGGGACUUUAGUGGAAUGACCCGUUAAUUAACGAAUGUUGAUUAACUCGGUCUAAAAGAGUUUAGCUAGUUAAUCUUGAAUAGUUGGAGCCCAUGAUCUAUAGGUCAAUUAGGUUCCCCUGCUAGCUCAUAUGGAUUAAACUUAGAACAAUGUGAUGAAAUAAGUCGAAUUGUUCGAAUUGGGAGAAGAAAGAGAAACCGACAAAUAUAGUGAUAUAGUCGUCGGUCUUCUAAUUAGAAAUAGAGCUUUAUGUUUUACAUACUAUAAGUAUGAAUGCAGAUUCAUACUAAGAAGCUCGGAAUUGAUGGAAUUGGUCAAAAUAGUAAAAAGUCAAAAUGUUGACUUUUGACUUUGAAAGUAAAACUUUGACAUGCCUUAUAUUCAAAUGUGAUUUGAAUUUUGAAAAAAUGAAUGCAGAUUCAUGCUCGGGAGGUUGGAAUUAGUCAAGACGAACAAAAUGGUAAAAAGUAAAGGUUUGACUUUUGACUUAAAAUAUCUAAUGACCAUUUUACCCUUGGAUUAAGUUAGUGGGAAAAUCCAACAUUUUGUUGGAUAAUCCCACUAACUCAGUGAGAUAUGUGACUAUAUGAGAUGUAGACAUCUAGUCCACUAAGUUCCACUAACUGUUAGUGGAACAUUAGGUGUUGAGAUUUGGCAAAUUAAUUACAUGCAUUUUUGCAUGUAAUUAGGUUAUAAAUAGGGGAGUUUUCAAAUGGUUGAAAACUUUUGCUUUUUUUUUUUUUAUUCUCCAGUAUCUCAACCAAGAAAAAAACUUCUACCUUCCUAUUCUCUUUUAUCUCCAUUACUUUCUACAUCAAAUUGGGUCCCACAACCCGGUUCUUUGUCCAAAGGAUAGUAGUUGAGUACUAGUGGUGGUCUCGGUUUGAAUUGGUAAGGAGGUAUCACAGUUUUUUGAGAGCUUCAAAGGUAAUAUUUCCUAAAACCCUAAUUUGAUUAGUUUAGGGUUAAUUGUAUCAAAGUUUUUUCCGCUGUGCAUGUCUUAGUUCUAUCAAGAACAAAUGACUUAUUGUGGAUAUUAUCUUAGCUUAAGGUGAUAGAGAAUUGAAUAUGUCGGCGACUUUUAAAGAAGAUGCAACUUACGGUUAUUACAAUUGAUAAAACAAUGUAAUAAGAAGUUAGAAAUUUAUGAUUGAAUUUCUAAAAGCUUCAGUGAAAGACAAUAAUGGUUGCCGGCAAUGGAAAAUAAUAGGUAGAAAUAUAAUCUUGGAAAGAAGAAUAUAAAUAGGUUAUUACAAAUUAGAAUAAAAUUACACAUAUUAUACUAUAUUUUGAUUUAUAGUUAAUUGAAAAGAUACUUAAAAUUUGUUAUCAUGUUAAUCAAUCACAUUAAAUUAAAGAUAUUUUGGAAUUCAUAUUAAAUUCAAAUAAUUUUCAAUAAAAAAUAUUUCAAAUAAUAUUACGAAUAAAAUAUCUAAUUAGUAAUCGUAAUAUAUAAUUAAUAAUUAUUGAAAGGUUAGAAAUGUUCGUAAAAUAUUAUUUUUUCUAUUUAAAAAAAUAAUUUUUAAAUUAGUACAUUCAUACAAUUUCUUAUUCAAGUAAUGGGUUUAAAAUUUUUCUUAAAAAUAAUAAAAUUAAAUGAGAUAAGGCCUGUUUACCAUUUCUUUUCCUUUUUUUAUGUUGGUAGGAGAGAGAAAUUUUUUUAAAAAAAUAAUAAUGUAGAAUCCAAAAAAUCCACCCAUUUUACCAAAGUACUUUUGAAUCACACAUUUUACUAUUUUUUUUUUUAAAAGACACCCCAUUUUCAAAUCACACCACUUUUAUAAUUUAAGAAAAUGGUAAAAAAAAAAAAAAAAAAAAAAAGAACAUUUGAUAAUUCAUUUCGGUCCAACUGUAUAUACAUUUUGUCAACUUUUUAUAUAUUUUUUUAAAAAAAGCCCUGUAAUUUAACCUAACCAAAAUUUAUGGUUAAUCAAUACCCUGUGGCUUAAAACUAAAUUUUGCUAUUCAUUGUUUGAGUUCCUCUCAGUAUUAAUGGCUAGUCGUCCCUAGUCAAACCAACACACACUACCCCCUUCAUCUCUCCCUUUCCCUCUCUGGAAACUUAACAUCCAACACCUCUCCCAUGGCGGCCCUCGUCGCCGAUCUCUUCGCCUUACUCAAAAUCUUUCUCUCAGUCCUCGCCUCUUUACUCUACUCCUAUUUCAUAUCCUCAAAGCUCCCAAAAGGCCUCCCAAGGCUCCUUUCUCUCCUCCCAAUCCUCUCCCUUUUCACUCUUCUCCCUCUUCUUGUCUCCUCCAUCUUAUUCGCCGCCAUUGUCUCCUCCAUCGUCACUUGGCUCACUUCCUUCAAGCUCCUCCUCUUUUCUUUCCAUUCAGGCCCUUUAGUUUCCGACCCACCACUUCCAUUUCUUCUGUUCGUUUCUCUCGCUUUUUUCCCAAUCAGAAUCAAGAAAAAGGAAUCCCAAAAACCCAUUGAUUCUCCUAAAUUGCCUAUCAAUUUUCCGGCGAAAGUGUUUUUGUUCACCGUCUUGAUGGCCGUCGAAGAUUCUCUGCCCCCUUAUAUGAAGCUCUGUUUUAAUUGUGUGGCUCUGUAUUUCUUCAUCGACAUUGUUGUUGGAUUUUUCAAUACGAUUGCGAGAUGGGUUUUUGGAAUCGAGUUCGAAGAGCCAUCCAACGAGCCGUAUUUAUCUACCUCGCUUCAGGAUUUUUGGGGGAGGAGGUGGAAUAUAUUGGUUUCAAAUCUUUUGAGAUUGACUGUUUUUAUACCAGUUAGGAGCGCCAUGAUCGACGUGGCAGGUCGGCGGCGGUCGGCGGCUGUGGGAGUGUUUGCGGUGUUUGUGGUGUCGGGACUAAUGCACGAACUGCUGUUUUACUAUGUGAACCGAGAGUCUCCGAGUUGGGAGGUUACUGGAUUUUUUGUGCUUCAAGGAGUUUGUGUACUGCUGGAAUUUCAGUUGAAGAUGGCGGUGGGGGAAAAGUUUCGUAUGCAUUAUGCGGUUUGUUGGGUGUUGACGAUGGGGUUUGUGGUUGUUACCGCCUCCUGGCUGUUCUUUCCGCCGGUUUUGAGGAAUGGGACGGUGGCCAGAUUAACUGGAGAUUGUAGGGCGGUGCUAGAGUUGGUGAAUGAUCUCGUUAAGUUCGUUCUUAAAAGUUCAUCUUGAAAGGUUUGCUUCUUUUGUCCUUUUUUGUUGAAUGUAUAGUUUACGUGGUUUAUUGGAACAUUUCAACUAAACCUAUUGGUGGGAUGGAUUAGUAACAUUUUGGACCAAUUAACAACCUAAAUGAAUUUUCAAUCUUCUAUUAUCAACAUUAUUUAUUUAUUAUUUUUUAAGUUAUUUAUUAACUUAACAUACUUCAAUUUUUCAACCAUACAUUUUAAUAACUAAACUUUCCUAAAAUUAAAUAUAAAAUUGUGCAUAUCUAUUACAAAUUUUAAAAAUAACUUGAUAAUAAUAAAUAUAAAUUAUAAUAUCAGUGAAUUGUAAUAUAUAUUUUAAUUAAAUUGAAAAUUCAACUUGUUUCUAGUAAAUAGGUUUAAAAAGUAACCCAAACUCAAUUCAAUCCGAAAAAAAUAUUGAAGAUGGAAAGAGAGAAAAAAAAGAUUGAAUUAAUUUCUUUUGUUGGUUCAAUUAGGAGAAUUUGAAACUUUAUAGUAUUACUUAGAUUUUAAUGCAUCAAACAAAAAGAAAAAACUAAGAAGUUGAUUUCAAGUGUAAUGCAUGCGUGCAAAUAUCCUUAGCUUUUAAAUGUAGCCAAACGAAAUAAAUAUUUAUAAAUACAAUAAAAUAUCACUGAUGAACAUUGAUAAAUAACAAAUAGAUGUUGAUAGAUGUCUAUCGCUAUCUAUUAUUAUAAUUUAAAAUUUUAUAUUUAUAAAUAUAAUCUAACAAUUUUGGUAUAAAAAAGUGUUUGAUAGAUUUUUGUAGUUAUGGAAACAAAUAAGGACAAAUUUGUUUUAUAUUAAUUUCAGUACAAGGGAGAUCAUGAUGACUAAUUACAACUGCAUCCUUUCAUCAUAAUUUUGGUAAGUGGUUUAUUUAACUAAAUAUUUUAUUAUUCAACUAGUGUUAUGACUUUAUUCAGCAAUCUUCUAUUAUUUAUGAUUUUAAUGAAGUUAUUAUCAGAGCUUAGAAGAAAUUAUCAUUUUUGAAAUGUUUGAAGUAAUUUCAUGAUUGUUUGUGAACUUUGAAAUGAUUUAGGUUCUCAAUUCGAAGAUGAGCAUGAAAUGUUUGAAGGAAAACAUGAUAAUAAAGUUUACGAAACCACAAGAUUUGCUUAAGAUGAUUUCUUAGGUUCAUGCACAUCAAGUAUAUAUAUCCUAACAUAGAUUCGAUAUAUAUAUAAGAUUUUGAGAUCCACUAGUUUAACGUAUACAUUUAAACUUUGAGAAAUGUGUAUUUGGUUUUUUGAAACUAUUACAUACGUCAAUACAUAGAAAUUACUUGGUUCAUGACAUGACUAGUGAUUAAUGCAUCAUAAGACUUAUCAAUUUGUAUAGUAUAUGAUUAGGAUAUUGAUAUACCAUGCGUAAUUAAGUCUUUUAUGUGUUAAGUUUAACUAUAAAUUUGAGUACGUGGUGAUUUAUUUUAUCAGCAUUUAUGUAUUUCAAGAGAUGUUUUUAUAAAAAAAUUAUAUGUUUUAAUCGUCUUUUAGAGUCCCGAAAAUUUUUCAUGAUUCACAUUUUUUUAAAAAAAAUAUACAUUGGAUCAAUAGGUACAACGAGACAUCUCCACUAGGUGGACACCUCCUUAGUACUCUCAUAAUUUCCGCUUCAUUAAUAAUAUGAAAAGUUAGAAUAGGAAGCAAGAAAUACAAAAAAUGCUAGAGAGUAGCCUAUGAGACCCGAAACCUCGAAGCCCCGAUGAAAAACAUUAAAAUACAUUGAGGUUUAAAAUAAUACUACUAGUAAAAUAGUUUUUGAAAAUGGGAGAGUGACUAGUCCAUAAUCUAGUGUGGGCUUGUAUAUAUUCCCAUAAAGCAAGCAGAGAUUUUUUUUCUCCAUUCAAAAUUCUCUUGUUUCUUUCUAACCAUAUAGACCAGAGGGUGACGACCGCCAUGUUUAAGUGGAUAACCUGUUUUUUCGACUUAAGUCUAUUUCUAUAAAUGUAAUUGCACAGGUAGAGCAGUAUUGUCAAAGUUGUACUGAUGAUUUAGAAGAGCUCCAACCUUUUCCCAAAUGUCUUUGUUGCAAGGAUAGCUACAGAAUAGAUUGUUUUUGUUUUCUUCACUAGUUUUGCAGAGAACACACCAGGAUGGGUUCAAGUAUAUUUAGACAGGUGGUGGUAGAUUUCCACAUGCUUCACAUUGCAUAAAAGAAUUUUGAAUUAGUGUUGAGAAUGUGAAAAACUUUCGAUUGAGAUUAUUUUCUUAUGAACUAUUGCCACUUGUUGAGUUUGUUGACUCAUUUUCUUUACUGUAUUUUUUUUUCCCACCAGGUAGCACACAAGAGUAUCCAAUGGGCAUACUAAGAUUGAUAACACUGCCAGCACUCUAUUGCACGUUAUAUUUCAAUUUACAUUAUGGAUUAAGUAAUUUGUUUUAUGUCUGUCUUUGAAACUAUAUAUUUGUGACAAACCUUAAGUUUACAGCAAUGGUUUAUAGAUUAUAACUUCAAUAAUUUCUUGUUUAUAAUCAAUUUUACUACUACAGUGUAGCUUAUGGAUUUUCUGAACUUGGCCAAUGAAACAUGUACUGCGAUUCGACCCACUAGAUGGUGGAGCUAGCUGUGAAACAAAUUGUUUAGAAGUGGUUCGUUCUAUUUGAUUUUAUUUUUUCUUAGAUUUUGUUUUAAAAAAUCAUUACUAGUACGUUAAUCGGCUAAAAAAACAUAUAUUUUGAUUUGAUAAUGCUUUGUUAAGUUGAAAUCUAUUCACAUUGAACAUCCCAACUUAAAUUUAGAAUAAUUUGGGACAAAUGUGUUGCAUGAUGUAGUUUAAGGUGGUGUUAUUUUUGCUAUAGUUAGGUGGGUUUGUCUACAUUUGCAAGCCACCUAUUAAAUAAUGAUCCUAACUUUAAACCUUUAGAUUCACUAUGUUCAUGAAUAUGUGUGUUCGUACGAGAUUUUCGGAGAAAUUUAAUUCGUGGACUUGAACUUGAGUUGAUGUUGUAUUUUUGUUGAUUUGAUGUGAUACGGUUCAAUCUCUAGAAUUUGAUCCUCUGAUUCUCUCUCGACUGGAUGCUUCAGCUUGAUUUCACUAGUAGAAAAAUGGUCUACUAUGACAGUUGUAUAUAUCCCAAAUUGAAAGGAGAAAAUAAAAAAUUGUCACAAAAGCUAAAAAACCGCGUUUUUGGCGGAAAAGACGGAAUUUUUCGGAUUUUACUUUCCGCGACAGUUAUUUGGUGUCAUAAAAGAUACAAAAAAUAUUUUAUUUAAUUUAUUAAAAUAAAAUUUAUUUUAAAUAAAAAUUUAUUAAAAUCAGAUUUUUUCCUAAUUCUAAAAACAUUAAAUAAUUUAUUUAUUAAAAUAAAACAUCUCCAAAACUUUUUCUCUACCUCCUCCUCUUCUUCUUCUUCUCUUCUUCUUCUCUUCUUCUUCUUCUUCUCUGUAGAAGAUCCACACGUCGCCCCUCUUCGAUUUUUCCUCCCUUCCGCUAACAAUCUCUCUCCCUCUCUCACGUACGCCGGAAAAGACUAGACUUUUGGUCAACAACGCGCAAAAUCCCUCUCUUUCUCUCCUUCAGCCGAUGCAACCACCCAACACCCCUUGCACUGCUGAACUCACUGGUGAAUCUCAACAAUUAUUUCUAUUGUUUGUAUUUAUACAGUAUAUUAACUUCAAAUGCUUUCAUUUUACCCACAAUGUGAUAUAUUGAUGGUUCUUUUUAUGAAAAACAUCCCUCAUAGUUUUGCUUUUAUAUGAGAUAUGUGUUUGUUUUGUCUACCAUCCUAUUCAAUAUUGUUGUUUACAAUCAUUUUUCUAAUUUGAAUCUACAUUUUUUCUUUAUGGUUGGCUAUGUGAUGAAACAUUUUGGUAGCUUACAAUGUGUUUGAUGAAAUGCCUCAAUGAAGCAUUUUUGGUAGCUUACAAUGUGUUUGAUGAAAUGCCUCAAUGAAGCAUUUGGUUGAUUUUUUAUUGAUAUUUGUUCGUUCGAAUUAGGAAAUCAAGGUCAAGGGAGAUGUCAUGGCUAUGGGCUGAAGCUUUGAGAAAAAGAGAAUGAAAAAUGAAAUGUGAGAUUUUAAACUUUGAUAGUGUGUAGGGUCUUUUUGUUUGUCUAUGCAUUUUCCAAGUGAAUUUUAGUACUUUUGAUUUUUCUAUUGAUAUUUUGUUUAUGGUUGCUAUUGAGUUGCUUUGAUUGAAGGAUAGAGGGAAGUGAUUAUUGAUAAUUAUAGGUAUGUUCUCUCUCCCUUUCUUACAAUAAGGAUAGUAGCAACAAAAAUUACUACAUGUUCUAUAUUGAAAGGAAAAACAAAAAAAUGAUGGUGAAUUAAGAUUUAUUUUGUAUGGUAGAAUUUUAUUUGCCACUUACCAUGCUAGAUCUUUCCAAGAGGAGUAAAUUUGAAAAUGUCGAAAUACACCCUCUGCUUGAAACAUAAACCGCGAUGUAUGUUAUACACAUUGGAAAUGUAUGAAUGUGUAUGUUGAAACUUAAGCCUAUACACUUUCCAAGAGAAUUUAUGUAUGUUAUCUAUUUGGUUUUUGGCUUUAAGUUUUUGAAACUUAAGCCUAUACACUUUUUUUACCUCUACUUUUUAUCAACGUUUUUAAACUAUAUUUUCUUCCUAUGACUACCUUAUGACAUUUUGAAUAAUUGAUUGAAUUGAGGAUUAGCAUAAAGUUCUCUUACUUCAAGGACGUUGUCGUUAUUUGUUCAAGUAAGUAGUGUCUACCUCCCUACCAAAAUACAUAUUCAACUAUUGUGGUUUAAAGUAUAUUUUGUAUAAUUCUAGUCUCGUUGAAAGUGUUUUAGUCUAAUUAGUAUGGUAUAUUAGUAGUAUAUCAACGUUUGCUUGAAUUAAUAUCAUCCAAAAUCUCCAUAGUAGUUCUUUCCUUACUUUGAAAGAUCUUGUUGUUCCUUUCCAACAAUAGUGUUGGAAAUUGGGGGGAGGGGGGAUUAAGGGCUUUAUGAGAGUUAUCAACUCAACUUUGUCAAAUUGUCAUGUAAAUGGAGUACGAUUUAAUCAUUGAACAUUUUUUCAUACUUAGGGCUUGAAGAAUCCUCGAGAGAGUGACAAUGCUUGUUGAAUUUUUAUGAAAAUGCAACAUUGAAAAGGUAUUACUUAUGAGUAUUUAUGUUCAAUCUUAUUUUGUUGUGAUCAAUUGAGAUGCAUAAUAUGCACUAGAAAUUUGUUAAAGUGCUAGACUUAUAUGUUUUUUUGAUAGGGUUGGAAGGGCUCCAAGGUACGUUUUUAACUAUUGAAUUACAAUGAAAAUUGUUUGGACUUGUUAGUUCAAAGUUUAAAUUGAGUUUAGCUUGUGAAACUCAAAGAUUUCAUUUGUAUACUGAUUAUAUAUGUUGGUGUGGAAUAGUUUAUCUUGCAUGUACCUAACAAAAUGAUUAUGUUUGCUUGAUUAUAUUUCUAUUUGUCAAUUUUCUUAAAGGUUUUGAGUGAACUCAAGUUUAUGGUAGAUUGGGGUACAUUAAAGUUUAUUGAACUUAUUUUUCAUUGUCCCAUUACAUAAUGUCCUAUAUAAGGUGUGUAUAUAUAUAUCUUGUUAUAUUUUUUUAAUCUUUCUUAAAGUUUAUAAACCAUGGAAAGUAAGUUGAACAGUAGUUUCUCGUUAGCUUUUGUUUCUAGAGACAUGUCUUUUAUGUAUAUAGUUCUCUUUAGGGUUUGUUGAAAUUGGUUUGUUGUGAAUAUCUAUGGAUUUUAUGAGAGUCACCAAAAAAAAAAAAAACACAAUGGUUUGUUUAUCCCACAUUGUUCUUGUAGUGUACCAUUUUGAUCAAUUAUGUUAAUAACAUGUUUUGAAAUUGGAGCUUCUGCGUUUUGUUGUGUCGUUUGUUUAUUGAUUAAUGGUAAUUUGUAGUAUCAAGUCUACCCUAAUCUAUUGGCAUAUUUGAGGAGAUUGUUGAUUUUUCUUCCCAUGUAUUUUACUUCUUCAAGUUAAACUAAGUGAAUAAUGAAUCCCAUUUCAUUCAUUUUUGCUAUUUGGUAUCUCAUCGUAUUUAUUUUUUUUAGUAAAAUGAAGUUUGUUUAAUGAUCAACAUUGAAAAGGUAUUGCUUAUGGGUAUUUAUGUUCAAUCUUAUUUUGUUGUGAUCAAUUGAGAUGCAUAAUAUGCACUAGAAAUUUGUUAAAGUGUUAGACUUAUCUGUUUUGUUUUUUUUUUAAUCGGGUUGGAAGGACUUCAACGUACAUUUUGUUAAAGAAAAUUUGAUCUUUAUAUGGCUAGGUUGAUGAGUUUCCAAUUUCAAAAGUCUACCUAAAGCUCUAUUGUUUGUUUAACUCAAAGGUAAAAAAAAGUAAAGUAUGUGGACUUGCACCGAAUAGAGCCAUGGUAAGUUUCCAAUUUCAAAAGUUUACCUAAAGCUCUAUUGUUUAUUGAUGAGUUUCCAUAGAAUUUUGAAGUUUGAGAAGAGUUGUGGAAAUUUGGGACAAUACCACCCUCCUUACUUGUAUUUAUUCUCAUUCUUAUUAAGUUUUUCUAACUACGUUUCUUUGGUCCCUCAAGGAUAUGUCAAACUGUUCAACUUUAAGGACUACAAAUUGUCAUACAUGUAUUGUCGUAGCGUUUUUGUUGUAAGGACUAAGAACGACCCAACUUUAAGGACUACAAAUGGUUAUUUUGCUCUACUUUAAACAUUGUGAACUUUUCAUUGAUGAAAUUUGCAUACCUUGGACAUUUUUUUUUGAAGUACCUUUCUUAUCAUGGACAACAGUGCAAGUAAGCCUAGGGAGGAGGAAACUUCUUCUUUGGCCGGUCUCACAUUUUUCAAUGUAAUAGGUUUUAACUUAAGAGUAGAGUAUGUACAGAUUCUUAGAGCUAGUAUUGACAAUGGGAUAAUAAACUAAAUUUCAUCGAAGAAGAGUUAACCAAAGAAUAGCUAAUGUUUGUUACUAUAUUUAAUUUUGAGAGUUUUAUUGCAAGAAACAAGGGUGAGAGAGUGCUUUGCAUUCUUAUACUUGAAGCUUCGAUCUCAUCUCACUUCUUGUUUUUCUGCUUGUCAUGCUAAGCUUCGAUCUCAUCUCACUUCUUCCAUCGUGUACAUGUUUGAAGAAACCUCAACCCAAGUAACUAGGAAAAAUUAGUUUGUGGAAUUACUUGUGAGAACAGGAUUAUAUAUUUCAUGGUUGACAUUUUGCAAUUGACAUUUUGCACGUACAAAUGAACACCAUCAUUUCUAUUCAUGAAAAAUAUUCAAGAGUGGUUGUAUAUAUAUUGGUUUGAUGUGCCCUAAACCUCAACCCUAUCUAGUGCUUUAUGCACACAUACACACACACUUGAACUAUCUGUAUUUGUCUCUUUUUGUCUCCAUGAAUAAUGAGAAGCCAAUACAAACAUAUGAAUUCUCUGUUUGGUUCUCUUUCUCUAUCUCGAUGUUGGGAAAAAACUAAAUAUUUGAGGCAUUGAUUUCAGGAAUUGGUGCAAGGGUUUGAUCAAGAGGCUGCUGCAGUUGUUGGGGCAAGAUUAACUUCAUAAAAAAUGGAGAUGGAGGUAUUCUUAAAUGCUUAUAUCCCUAAAAAUGCUUAUAUCACUUAUAUUUAUUCGUUUACGUCACCAAUAAUUCUCUUCAACAUUUUACAUUAACAUUACUACAUGGUAGUCCUCCAUUUUCUUCUUUGUUGUGGUAAUGUUGGUUCACAAAUGUAUGUGUUAUGGAUGCUUAUAUUCAUGUUGUCUUUGUAGGUUCAACCGGAGUCGACAACUUCAUGAGUUUUCUUUCAAAGAACAUUUUCAGAGACGAACAUUCUCGGUUGGUCGUUUAUGCUUCUGCAGAAAAUCUUGUUAGAUGUAUUCUAAUGCUAUUUAAAAUAUUUUUUGAUUAAGGGUUGGGAUUCAGUACUUGUAAAUUGUUGACACUUGAUUGGAAAUGUACGAAUAUUAUAAAUUGUAUUAUAUCGUAUAUAUAUUAAAGUGUUGGCUACUUUUUUCUAUAUGGGUGUCAAUAUUAUAAAUUCAAAAUUGUCAUUCCCAGCUACAUUAUUGUCAUUCAAAUGGUUCGUAUAAUGGUGGAGCGGCAAGGAGAACCGGAAAAAAUUGUAGUAAAUUGAGAAAUUUGCAACAUAAAAUAAAUGAUUAAUUGUUGUCAAUCCGAAAACGAUGACAGUUGUUUAAUCAAAUAAAUUGUCACGAUUACCCUAUAUGUGACAAAAAAAAAAUGUCAUCAAUAGCAAAACAAUGACAUUUUUAUACAAAAAAACUGUCGCGAUUAACAUAUUCAUGACAAUUAAAAAAUGUCACAAUAAAUGAAUUCGCGACAUUUUAUUUAACCGUCGUUAAUUCACAAAUGAUGAUAGUUAUUUGUUGUCAUAAAAUAAAAUAUGACAAUUAUUUGACGUCGUUGAAUUCUGAUUAACGACAUUUAUUUCAUGUCAUAAAAUAACUUAUUGCGACAGUUUUUAAAAACUGUCAUUGAAGGACUUUCCAUGACUCCCGCUUCUAUGACUGAAAAUAACUGCCGCGAAUUUCGUUUACGAUAGUAAAUAACUGUCGUCGUAGACCACUUUUGUACUAGUGUUUGGAGGAAGCGAAGCACGUGAUGUUCUUGAAGUUGGAGCCUUGGAAGAAAGCUUGUAUCUUUAAAGAAGCUUCAAUCUUCGAGGAUGGUCGACUUCAGGAGUUAGGGAGUCUUCUAGCUCUUGGAAGAAUUCUCUCUGGAUCUUCUAGAUUCAAAAUUUUUCAACCCCUACAAAUGAGGAUAAUUCCUCUAUUUAUAGAGUUCACUGGUGGGCUUUAUGGGUUUGAACCUGGUUGGUCCAUGGACCAGACCCAUGGGCUCAACCAUAUGGACUUAGGUUAUAUUUAGUCUUUGGGCUCAAUUAAGCUUAUUUUUGGGCUUAAUUGAACUUAGUCUAAGUAAAUAAUAUUUAAUUGAAUUAAAAUGAUUAACUUAAUCCAACGAUUAAUAUGAAAACAUGUGGCAUUAUUAAAAUGACCAAUUUAUUUAUUUUUAUCUUUAAUUUGGAGCAUAUGUCAAUUUUAAUUAGUCCCAAAUUUAAUUAUUUGUACUUUUCAUCAUUAACUUAAUAAAUAGUUAAUGAUGUGGCAACUUGUGAUUGGUCUCAAAAUUUCUUAUUCGUGUUUGGUAAAUUGUCAUUUGGAUUUUAUUUUAGAAAUUUGUUUUAAAUUUUAUUAUCAACAUUUUUUAUAUUUUCAACGUAUACAUCUUUUGAAUUUGAAAUUACAAUAUGCAUAAUUGUAUAUUAAAAUUGAUAAAAACGUAAUGAAUAUAAAAUUUUAUUUAGGUUAAGCUGUUUUAAAGACAAAACUAAUAAAAAUAUUUUUAACAAAAUUUCAUUACACAAAUAUUAAUAGAUAUAUUUUAUCGUCAUCUAUUAACAUUUAUGAUUGAUAUUUUGAUAUAUUUAUAAAUAUUUUAGUUUAUUUUAAACAACCAUAAUAAUUAAUAUUAUAUUAUAGAAUUUAAACAUAAAACAUAUUCACUCGUUAAUAAUAUGCUACAAAGAAAUUAAAUUAAUAUUAAAAAUUAGAUAUAUAGAUAUAUCUGUUCAUCGAUCCUUCCAUCAUUUAUGUUUCGCGCCAGUUUUAGAAGAAGAGAAAAAAUCAAAUUAUUAGGGGCUAUGAGUUUUAAAUCCAAGUUUGGAGACUGGUUUUAUGAUUUUUUUUUGUGCUAUGAGUUUUAUAAUGGAAACAAAAUCAAAUUAGGGUUCAUGAGUUUUAGAAUCCAAGUUUGAUUUUUUCUAUGCCAUGGGUUCCCAGAUUCAAUUUCUUUCUUCUUUUUAGAAGCUAGUAGCAUGAUAAAGUGAUUUUAGGGGCUUAACAUUUUUUAUUUAACUUUAUUUGAUUUUAGAAACUCAACUUGUUUCGCUACGCUUUGCUUUAUUUUUGUUCUCUUCUUAUUUCGUGUAGAAUGACUAUGUCCGUACGUAGUUGAGGUACAUCAUGGUGGAUUUUCUGUUCACAAGCCAAAUGGGAGUUUUUGUGAAGAAUUACGCAAAUCAGAUCAUGGUGGCACUGCAAACUUUAAGUUUGAAUAUGUAUCAAAGCAGAAGAGAAGAAUGAAGGAGAACCCACUGGAAGAAUUAGGUUGUUUCAUACAUUCCAACGCCUAUACAUUUGUUUAUGGCAUGGAGUAGACCUUUUAUAGUUUUAGAUGCUUGUCAUUUGAAAGGGAAGACAAAACUAUUGGAAGCGACCCUAAAUAUCAAUUUUACCUGUUGGCAUCUGCUAUGGUUAAGGUAGAGACAAAAGAUUCAUAGAUGUGGUUCCUAUCUUUGAUAAUUAUACAUCUUGGUCUCAUAGAGUCUGAAUGUUGUAUCUUUAUAUCAGAUCAAUAAAGAUCCACUAGAUUUAAUAAAAUAAUUAAAGAUGUUAAAAUUUGGCAUGUUUGCUAUUCUAAAUUUUUGUUUUGUUUUUUUUUGUUUUUUUUUUUAAUAUAAGAAACAUGCAUGUAUAUUGAGCCAUGGUUAGGUCUAUAAUCGGUUGUGGAGUUACAUUUUUGUUUCUUUGCAAUAAACGGAAUGUAAGUCUCAUUGACGGCUUUAUUGAUUAUGCCAUGUGUGGAGAAAUCUUAUCCAAAGUCUCCAGAAUGUUCAGCCUAACUGAACUCCAACUUUUCUUAAAAAAUUCCAUAUAUAGUGAAACCGUCAGGUUUCAGAUACUUUGUUAUUUUCAAAGAAUUUCAAAGGAGUCAGAAUUUUCCUUUCAUGGAACCCCAAACACAACUGUGUUUUAGCAUUUAUUCUCGGAAAUAGGAGCCCAAUCAAGAUUUUCAAUAAACCAAUAGAAUUAGUGUAGAUGCUUUUAAAGGGUUCAAUAAAAAGUUUUUCAAUCUCCUCAUUGUUAGUGAUUAAAUUUCUCUAUUUGUUUGGCAGUACAAACUCUGUGAAAAAAGAUCGUGUUUUCAUUUCCUUCUAUACUCCAAAGACUUUUGAGAUUGGAGUUUCUUUGAAAAUUUGUGAACUAAGAUCCGCGUUGAGAGCAGUUCUUUGAAUAAUAUUCAAUUCAGUUAAUCUAUAUUCUCGCUCUCUGGUGUCAAUUUCUUUGACCCAAGUUUUUUUUAUCCUUUAGUGACUUUUUCCUUAUUUUUGCUCCAAUUAUGAAUUAGAGUGCAAAGUUGUUUUAGUCUAUGCAUGAAAGAAUAUCUAGCUGGAUGGCCUUGUUAAUCGGUACUUUUCCACUUAGAAUCAAUAUUUUUCUUAAACUCAGCUUCAUGAAGGAGAUUGUUAGAGAAAUGAAGGGGAGAAGGUCCCCAUCUCUAUAUUUUUCUUAAACUCAUACCUUUGCAAAUGAAGGGGAGAAGGUUCCCAUCUCUAUAUUUUUCUUAAACUCAUACAUACCUUUGCAUGAAACAGAUUUGGUACCAAACUCUUAAUUAAAAAGUAAUUUUCAUAUAUUUAGAAUUAAUUUUUAAUUAUUAGGUUUGCUUCACACACUCAACAUAGAGUUGUCUAAAGUUAACUAAAUAACUAUCGUAAACAUCUAUUUUUAGUUGUUACUUAAAUUUUUAUAUGCAUGUUUCAUAUAUGUUUAUAUAUAGAUAUUGAGAAGAAAAAUCAAAAGCAUAGAUAAUUGUUUGUUUUAUUAAAAAUUUCUAUUAGAAUUUUAAAAUUAAAAAAAAAAAAAAAAAACUCACACAUGACUAUCAACAAUAUUUUAUACAACAAUUCAAUUAGAUAACUUAUUUGAGGAGUGCUCUAUAAUCUAUAAUUAUGUUUAGAGAGGUAAGAAGUAGUCAUAGGCGCUUAAGUUUUUUUUUUCUUUUAAUUUUUUAUAGUAAAACAACUGGCCAAAACCAAAUGAUUAACAAUGGAAACCCUAAAAGUUAAAUUAAUUUUUUUAAUAAGUAAAAUUUAACGUUAUUUUAAGAAAUUUUUUUUUAAAAUAGUAGAUUUUACAAAAUAUUUACAACCUAUAGCAAAUUCUAUCUAUUGAUAUGUUAUAGUGAUAAAAGAGUAUAGUGAUAUAUAAUUCAAAAUUAUGGUAUAACUUGUAAAUAUUUUAAUUUAUUUUGCUAUUUUAAAAAGGUCACAUAUUUAAAACCUUGUAACAGUGGACUUGUUUUAUUUCAAAUUUUAAAAUAAAAAUAAUUGAAAAAAAAUUGUUUAUUUUCAACGAAAAUGAAAACCUAAAAGAAAAGGAAGGUUCCCAUUUUUAGACAUAGAAUUUAAAAGAAGAUUCCUUAUUUUAUUUGAAACCGGUUGAAUCCCUAAUAUUGAUUAAUUUAUAAACAUAUAUUUCACAUUUAAAAAAUCCAAACGUAAUCCAACCUAAUUACUCCAAAGGAUAUAUAUUUUUUAGACAAGAAACCUUCCAUAUAUAUACCACAAAAUCUCCAUUAUCUUGAAAUUGAUCAUCAGCAGAAAUAGUUUCCAUUUCAAAAAACCCCCGAAAAUCCCACAAAAAUAACCCUAAUUCACCAUCUUAAUUAAAUACACUUCUACAUCUCUAUAUCAAACCCUUUUGUACACUUCUUCAUCCAUUUUCUCUGAAAAAUGCUUCCACCCCCAAAAAAAGUUUGGAAUCGUUUUGCCUCUAAAGUCAUUUUGAAGCUCGGCCGUGGUUUCUCGAAGCCAUCGGAAUCAAUAACUCGAACGACACGGCGGUUUUUGAGUCGUCUCGGGUCUAGUGACUCCAGCGGAAGGCGGUGUUGCCGCUGCAGCUGCCACGACCAGCCCGAAUAUUGGCUCCAAGAUCGUCCGAGUUUUGGGAAUAAUUGUAAUACUAAUUAUUAUAUGGAAGUUGAAUUUGAAAAUGUAGAGGGGGAGGAAUUGGAAGAUGAAGCCGUGGAUGAAAAGGCUGAGGAGUUUAUUGCUAAGUUUCAUGAAUCUUUGAAGCUUGAAAGAUUGCAACAUUUUUGAAAACUUUUUUUUCCUUUUUCUUCUUUUUAGCCUUUGGUGGGUUAUUGAGAUUAGCUGCUCUUCUCUUAAUAUUUCUUAGAGAGAGUAGUUUUUGCUGCUUCUUUUUUUUUCCCCUUAUUUUCUUUAGGGAAUAUGAAAAUGUAAGCCAUAUGAGGGAUCAAUAAAGUACAUUAUAAUAAAAAUUAGAAUAUGUAUGGUUUUCCAUUGGGAUAGCAUUUUGAUCUACCAAAUCCUUUAUCUUUAUCUUUAUCUUCAAAUUAUUUCUUGCCUGCUUUUAUUAGUAAGACGAAGAAUUGUAUAUGUUUUAACUUUUGGGUUUUGUGAAACUCAACGUGUUUUAUUAGUUCUUAAUAAGAGUAUAUAGUGGAAGCUUGCUUUUCAUCAAGAAGAACAAUGUAGGGAGAAAAGUUUUCAUUGCAUUUCAUUUAUAGAAUAUUGUAGUGAGGAUAUAUUGUAAACAAAUCUGACAGAGUAGAGUAUAUACAGAUACAGAUUAUUUAUUUAUGAGCUAGUAGUGUGUAUAAAUAAAUACAAUAUUAUAAGGUGACAUAAUAUAAUUAAUUUUGUUUGAGGAGGGGAGGGGUGUUUUUGAAAAUUAAGGAAGAAAGACAGAAAGAUACGUAUGGACAAUGUGAUUAGCUAUAAUGGAAUUAGCUUUGUGUGUGGGAUGAAAAGCAUCCCAGAACACAUAUUUGUUGGCAUCAGAACAUGUAAAUGGAUUCAUUUUUGAGCACAUGAAACCCAUCUCAAAUCUACCUGUUCCACAGCAUGCUCUUCUUGAAUUACUAAACCCUGUGUCAAUUUUAAUUUCCAGAAAAUGGAAAACAAAUCAUAAUCAUAUUAUAUAUACUUUCUUUUGACAAUUUUAAAUGUUGUGUGUGUGUGUGUGUAUAUAUAUGGUAUGAAAUGAUUUUCUUUUAUUCCAUUUCAAAAUUAAAGCUUUAGGGGAUUUGAUUGAAACAAUUAAAAUGUGAUAAUGGAAUUUAAAUAUAUUUUUAUUAGUUAGUUUUAAUCUUAGAAUAUAUAAUUGAUGUAAGAUGUUUAUUGUUCUUCUAUAUGAAACCAAGAAUUAUUCAAUCCCUACACUUCAAAGUUGUUGAAGAACUUGUUAAAAUGAAUUUAUAAGAAAAAUAUCAACAAAGUUGAGAAAUUAUGUAUUAAUUCAUUUAAUUAAAUAAUAAAUGUUUUUUUGCCCAGAAAAAGAAUUAAAGUAUGAGUAGCAAACUCAUCACAAGAAAUUAAACUAAAGUGAGAAGAAGACGAAAAGAAAGAAGAUAAUCUACUUUACCUACUUAAAUCACCAUUCAAAAUUUGACAAAACUAUUUAUUUGAAUAACAAUUACAAAAAUUUAUUUCCUCUCCAUUAUUCCUAACGAUAUUUUUUAAAAAGAAAAUCGUUUUUUAUAAAUUAUCCGAAUUUGUGUACCUCUAAACUCUUAAGAGUUUAAAAAAUACUCUUAAACUUUAUUAACAGUUUAAAAGUACCGUUAAAAUUUUGUUUCAAAAAUAUCCUUGAACUAUUGAAAAAGUUUCAUACAUACCCAUGACAUUAAAAAAGUUUUUUAAAAAAUACUCUUAUUACUCAAAAAAAUCACACCAAUUUUCUUAUCAACCAAAAUAAAACUUAAAUUUUAAGUUAAAAUCAAAGUUUUAAUUAAAUUAUUUGACUAUUAACAAACAUAAAUAAAUGGAGUGCAACCAAUCAUUAUAGUUAUUGUUGUAAAUAACAUACAUUUAAUUGUCAAAUAAAAAAUAUUUUGACCAUUAAAACACAAUGAUAUUCCCUUUGUUUGUGAUUUUUGUGAUUUUUUUUGUUUGACUAAUUAUUUUCUAGUAUGUUUUAAAAAGUAAUUUUUAUUUUGGAACUGUGUGAAAUUUUGUGAAAUUUUAUGUUUUAACCAAGGAUUAAAAUAUCAAUGUUAAUUUUAGAGAAAUUUCAACUUGGAUGGAUAUUUUAUAAAAAAUUAUAAAAAAAUUUAAAAAAUAAAUUUAAAUUAUUAAUUUUCAAUGAGUAAACAUGUUUAUUAUUUAUAUUAUAUUAUAGGAAAUUUUUUAAAAAUAAUAAAUUUUACAAAAUAUUUACAACCUAUAGCAAAUUCUAUCACUAAUAGUCAUUGAUAUGUUACAGUAAUAGAAUCUAAAAUUUUGCUAUAGCUUGUAAAUAUUUUAAUUUAUUUUGCUAUUUUUUAAAAUGUCUCUAUAUUAUACUAGUGUCUUUUAUUUUUUGUGAUUUGUAAAUUUUUUAACCUAAACUUUUUGUUUUUAUUUUGAAGGCUAAGAAAUUUGGUAUAGAAAUUGGAUCAAUGAUAAUAUUUUUUAUUAUUUUUUCUAAGUUUGAGGGUAUUUAUAAAUUUUUUCAAUAAUUUAGUGGUGUUUUUCCAUAAAAAAAACGACAUUUUCUAUCCAUGAUAUUUUUGAACUAUUUUCAAAAGUUUAUAGACAUUUUUUUACACAAAACUCAAAGUUUAGGAGCAUUUUUUUUAAAUAUUUUUAUUUAAUGAAAUCUCAAAGACUACGAAUAAUUGAGUUUUUAAAAUGUAACGUUUUUGGUUCUCAAGUCUGUAAAAUUUUUUAGAAGUAAUUUUUUUAUUAUUUUAAAUAAUAACGACAUUUUAAAUUAUAAAAUAUUAUUUUUAUUACAAAAACUAUCUCCUCUCACUUUCCAAUUUUGCUAAAAAUAUUUUUUCAAUUUAAAAGAACAUAUAAUCAUUUAAAAUUUAAAAAAAAUACAUCAACAACCAUUUAAACCUAUUUUUAAAAAUUUGAUAACAAAAGGAGGAGUGCUUGCAAAAAUAUCAAAAAAGAAUUUAUGAUAACAUGACUCAUGUCAGUGUAUUAUCUAAAUUACAAAAAUAAUAAAUUUAAAAGUCGACAACUAUGAUUAUCAUUUGAUAUCACUAAUUUUGUUAUAUUCCUAAUAUGCAAAUAAAUAAAUAAAUAAAUAAAUGUUAUGUUUAACCUUUUAAAUGUGUUUUGUGAUUUGAUGCAAUUUAUGAUGAAAACUCAAAAACCAAAUCCAGAUUUAAAAAUUUAUGAUGAAAACUCAAAAACCAAAUCCACAUUUUUUAAAUCUUUUUACAGACAAAUGUCCAACGUGAUCUUUAAGUUGUGGACUAAAAAAGUAAUUUUGAAUAAAUAUUAUGAUGAUAUAGGUUCUUCUUAUUAAAAAAAGAAAUGAAAAAUAAAAGAAAUUAAAUUUGGAUAAGAAUUAUAUUCAAAUGUAGACUGCACCUAAUUGAUCUAUGAAUCUAUUUCUUUCAGACACACACACACACAUAUAUAUUAACAACUAAUUACUAUUUAAUAUAGAAAUUAAAAUAGAUUUGAAUAGGAACUCACCAAAGUAGCUAGGAUGAAGAAUCAUAUCAUAAAGAAUAUCAAAUGGAUUGGAAAACACAAUCUGAAUCCCUUUCAAUUCCUCAUUCAUCGUUUUCACUAACCCCAUCAAUUUGGCAUUAAAAUCCCUUGCAACUCUAUUGUACUUCUCAACACACUCACCAGUACCUCCAAAAAUCAACCUUGAGCUCCUCUCCAAUGGUAAGCACCCCAUUGGAGGGAGCCCCCCGAUCGACAUCUUACGAGCUCCGAGCGCAUAGAGCUCUCGAACAAACCCUUCUGCAGCUCUAGCAAGAAAAUUUUGGUAGUCUUGUUGGGAAAACUGAGAGGAUCUUGGAGGGAGGAGGAAGUAGUUUUCUAGGAAGUCAUUUGUGCCUAAGCUUACGAGAUAAAGGAAUUGGGAAAUGGUGUGGUUGGCUUUUGAUGGGCCAAGAUAGUCUCUCAAUUUCUUCUGGUAUUCUUUGUAAUAUUGGAGUUCUUUCCAUAGAGGGAUCACUGACUGCAUGCAUCACAAAAACAAACAAUUACAAGAUAAAAAGUGGAAAGAAACUAGAAAUUACGAGAAAUAGGGUUAGGGUUGGAAGAGGAGAAUGAGAGCACUUACAAAAACAUCAGAAGUGGCAUUAUCAUAGCCAGUACCAGCAGAAGCAAAGCAAACACCAGAAGCAAAAUGAGUAAUAUUAUAAGAAGGAUCCAAAUAAGCUGGGAUUGUGGGUUUGAUCCCAAAAGCUUCAGAAAUAAAAUCAGUAACAAUUUUGCCAUUGGAGAAUCUUCCUGUGGCUUUUCCUCCUUCAAAAUCACGACCAUAUGGUGCAAAAUCACUUUUUAAAAUAGUUGAAAUGUGGUUGUUGUUACCUGAAUCUACCGAUGAAUCUCCAAACACUAUAAUACCUGGAACACCACCACCAACCCUCUUAUUCUCAUUCUUUCCUUCAACUAUUUUCUUCUCUAUUAACAAAUUAUUACACAUCAACAUCAACAUCGUCAACAAUGUCAAACACCCAAGUUUUUCCAUAUUAUUCUUUUAUUAUUAUAUGAUAUAUCUAUCUUCUAUUGUUGGUUGCCUUUAAUUUCUUGAAUAUAUGUGUAUAUAUAUCUACCUGGAAUGCUACUUAUCAAAUAAAUAAAAUGAAAGUAGGAAAAUUUUGUAACGUGUUAAAUUAUAGUUAGAGAAAUUUUUUGAGAUUUUGAGCCCCUACAUCACAUAAAAAAAAAUUGAAGGGACCCACACUUCUUAUAGAUGAGCUACUCCUCUCCUUUCUAAUUCGUUUUGUAUCUUCCAUUUAAGCUUUGGUAGGCUUUCUAUUUGUCUUUGCCUAAUUAUUGAAUAUGUUUUUUAAUUUACAAACUUAAUUGGUACAAUUUUGAAAGUUUAACGCCUAAUUGAUUAUAUUCAUUAAUUUUAAAAAAAAUAUAUAUUUAACAGUUCAAAUAUGUAAUAUGUGUAUUCAAUACAAAACUGAAAGUUGAAAGAUGGAUUUGACAUUUUUAACUCCUUGCAUGAAAGUUUAGGAAUUAAACUAAUAAUAACGUAAUGAAAGUUGUAUUUUUAGUUGUAAUGGUCCAUUUUUGUGAUAUCUUGUGCUACUAAUUUUCUGUCAUAUUGUACUGAAAUUGAAGCUAUUUUUCUUAAAAUGGUGUCAUAAUUUCAUAUUAAUAAAAGGGUUUCAUUGUAAACAGGAUUUGUGUGUAACCAUUUUCGAGACACAUAUUGGACCUAAAUUAACAUCGUCUCAUGUUUUAGAAGUAGUAAUUAGAUGUAGAUGAUCUUUUAGAUGAAAAGCUAAAAGUAUUUUUUCUUUUUAAAUCGUUCAAAAACAAAUUGUUUGCAUCUUCAAAAAAGAGAGAGGAAAAAGAGAAAAAAAUGAAUAGGUUGUUGUUUCAUUGAGCAAACGGAAUCAUGAAAAUACUGAAUUUGAGAGGUUGUUGAUGAGCAACGUGGUUUGAGGCACGGAAACUGGGCGUUGGAUUUAUUAAGGUUUCACGUUUUGUAUGUGAUAUCACCCUAAGCCCUCUCACGCUACUUAAAUGCCUUCUUCCCUACGUCCCCCCUCCCGUCCCUAUGUGUAACAAACCACCGUUGUAAAUUAAAAGCUUGUGUUAUACUUCCAUUAUUUUUACUUUAAUUUCUUCUUUAUUUUUAUGUUUCGUCAUUCUUUUGAACAAUCUCAUGCUGUGUCAAUCAAAAUUAAAUAUCAUUUCUCUAACUUUUAUCGCCCAUUUAAUAUGGAGAAAACAAGGCUUACUAAAAUAUUGGUGUCCAUAUUUCAAAUUUAAAUUUAAAUUUUAUAAGUAUAUUGGUCAAAGAUCAAUAUCACGAAUUUGUAGGGUUGAUCUCUUUUUAGAAGCCUACAUGAACUUUGGUUCGGCAUUCAAAUUUGAUGCAAAAAUAUCCAAAAAUACCAUAUUGUCCUUAAAUUGCGCACUAACUUAGGCUCGAUCCUUAUAAAAUAUAGAGAACUCCUUCUAUGUGUCUAUGCUGAUCUUAGUCUUCCUUUUAAGAUUGGAAUUCCCUUCUCAACAGCAAUGGUUUAGACUUUCCCUGAAUCAAGAUUAUUUUCAGUAUGCUGCCAAUCAACGAUUGACGCAUUUGCACAACAAAACAAUGAGUAACAAGCAAAAAUACAAUGGCUGUAGAAUACAGCAACUCUUCCUCAAUGAUCAAAUGUGACUUGAAUGAUAAUCGGAAUCGGCUUGCUCAAUACCCACAUUCAACAAUCCUAAACGGGUAUCAUAACAUACUUUAAAUACUUGAACUAAGAAGGAAAAAUGUCACCCAAUUGAAAAAGAUAAGCCACUCUCCAAUAAAGAAAAGUAUAUCGAAUAAUAUAUUUCAGCAGCAUAAUUCCAAAUAAGAAAAAUAUUACGCUGAAAAGUCUUCUCCAUGUUAAAACCAGAUUUAAGACUUUGCUUCAAACAACUAAAUAAAACACUGCCUUAUAGAAAAAUAUAAGGCCAACUCCUAAAACAUACCCGCACAACAUUAGUAAAGGUGUUAGAAGUGACAAAAUAGUAAUUAGUUGGUGAAGGAAUGAAAUUCCCAUAGCAAAAGCGUAUGAAUGGUGUGCAAAUGAAAUUUAAUUCAAAAUUUAAUUCAAAGAAAACAAAAGAAAAGCUUAAUUAAAAGAAAACAAAAGAAAAGCCUAAACAUGCUUUUAAGGAGGAAAAAAAAAGGAAAGAAACUUACAAGUCUCCCAAAAGAAAAGCUUAAUUCAAAGAAAACAAAAGAAAAGCCUAAACAUGCUUUUAAGGAGAAAAAAAAAAGGAAAGAAACUUACAAGUCUCCCAAUAACUCUGAAUCGAUCUCCAAAGAACACCACACAAUUUUUCUCGUUAUUCUCAAGGUGAAAAUCAACCGAGAGUGUAUGGAUAUGGACUUUUUAGAGAAGAUUUUUUUAGAACAAAGAGAUCAUGAAAAACCCAAAAGAAGAGAAUGUGUAUCCAAUGCUACAAAAUUGAUAAUACUUGACGCCUACAACUUUGAAAUUUUUGACAGUUUUAAUAAUAACUAUUAAAUAAAAAGAAAAAACAUAAAAAAUAACCAAAAGUGAAAAAAUACAUUAUUUUUUAUUUUUUAUUUUAAAUAUUUGACAGACUAAAAGUUUCCAAAUUAAUUUUAAUUACUUGACAUUUUAAUAUAAUUUUUCUCCCUUCUUUAAGAACAAAAUAUUUUCCUUUUUUUUUCAAAUUUCCCAUUUUCCCCAACUUAAAAAAAAACCCUAAUUUUUUCAUCCAAAAUUUUCCUCAUCGUUUCUCCCAUCCACAAUUUCUUCAUCUUGGUCGCACACUUCUCCAAUCACACCCAAAAAUCCAGACGACCAUUCACCACACUCACCACGCCCAAGCAUU
rnacentral:lncRNA from 1 species